GGAAAACGACUAAAUAAAUGACCUUCCUUCAAAUUUAAUCUAUCAGAAGAGAUUUUACAUCGCAUCGUUUGGACAGUGCUUGCUGACACAGAAACAAUGAUACAGUUCUCAUGAUAAGGUAACAUUUUUACAAGUUAAACCAGGCUAACGGCCUGACAAAAACGUUGAUUUGUAAAGUUAAAGGGAACAGAUCCCAUACCAAUUGGCUGGACCCUACCGCUGAAACCUCCUCCUCUGGAUUGCCCAAUGCUGUAAAUCGUAUCUGAUAAGCUAGGUCUGCCCAAGACCUCCCAUGCUUCCACCUUGAAUCACGUAAAUACAGUCGACCAAAUGUCUGUUCUCCACAGGUGGAACUUGUGCCAGAAAGCCUUGACCCUACAUAAUGGCAAGGGCAAUUGGUGAUAUUCUGUAACAUGAUGCCUAGCAACAACUCGUACAACAGUGUGCAUAUGCGUUCCUAUAAUUUGAUUCCAACGUCUUCCAAAGCAGCUGUCAUUGAAGCAGAUGCUUCUUCAAGGGUCCGUCUCUUCUCAACUGUGUUAAAGGCCUCCACAAUAUCUCCCUCCUCCCAAUCAUCAUAGUCUUCCAUCCCAAUACCACAUUCUAGUCCUGUACCAACCUAUACGAGAAAGUGAUCAAAUUACGCAACGUUCAGUUCUGUGCAUCACAAUUAAGAGACGAGACAAAACCAGAUGGUCCCUAAACAAAGAGUUCUAACUUCUGUGAAUGAAUUGCUAUUAAGAGAGUAGCAACUCUUCUGGGGAUUAAGGGUUGGACACUUUUACUCUCAAAGGAACCAGUUCAAUCAAGGGCAAGAAGAUGAUCCAACGGUGGUCAAGAAAUAUAUUAAAAUCAAAAGGAUGCCAUGAGUGAAAACUAAAAGAUAACUAAUCCAUGGACGGAUAAGGCUACGCAACAAGAACCAAACAAUUGUCAUGCUCAGACAAUAAGCUAUCAUCACUUUGCUCAGUUUUCCUCUCCCCUCAUACUGCAGGAUGCGUACAAGUGUCUAAAUAUAAAUCCUUAUAAACAAGAUUCUUUUUCCAGUACAUCACAACUUAUACCUUAAAAUAUCAGAAUAAUUGAAUUAUACUCGAUGAGCUCUACUAGUGUCGCUACCAUUUUUCAUCACGCUAGUAAAUAUAAUUCUUCAAAUUGUAUCUUACCCCUAUUCCUCACAUUAAAGCAAUAACACAUGCCUUCCAUCAAGGAAAUGAUAAGCAUUCUAUACACAAAGCUUGUUUCCACUAAAAGGUAAGUCUAAUUCCAGCAGAGCUCAUGAAAGAGCACGUAGACCAUAUAGAAAGUCAUGCAAAAAAAAUGUGCAUAGAGUCGGAUUAUUACGACACAAAGCAAAAUAUGACUUAGCAAAAAGGUCCAAUCAAUAACAUCUUUUAGCCAUACCUCUUUCACAAUUUCCUUGACCCGUCUCAAAGAAUCCAGAAUACCAACAUAUGCAGUUUUCCCCUUUCGAACAACUCGUAUACCACAGCCCUUCACCACCUUCCCCUCUGUAACCAUGCAUCCAGCAACCCGACCACUGCCACUGCUAAAUAUUGCUCGCACUUCAGCAGAACCAAUCAUUUCUUGUUCCUACACAUAUUAAUAAAAGAACAUAGAAUGAAUAAUCCGAAACAGAUAUUCUGGCAAUAUUAAGCGUCAAAGCAAUAGUUUCCGACUGAGCCCGAUUGGACUCAGCAUCAGCACCUAUCAACUAGAAUUGUACAGGUGUGCACCUGAUAGAAGUCAUUAUUAGGUAUCCCCACAAGGAUUUUCAGAGAAGAAGAAAAUCAUGUAGCUUUGGCAGGGUUAGCUGGACUUGAGCUCUAAUUAAGACAGAGACUCUAUUCUAAGAAGCAUCUCAAACACUGUAUCGCUCUGAAAGCACUGAUAAGUGGUCUCUCGGGUAGGAGCAGAUAUGCAGAGUCAAUCAAGUCAAAAUCAAGUGAUACAAGAUUAUGCCGCGGCCUCACAGAGGAAUUUUCAAAAGUGUUUUAGAAACUAACCUCCACCGACUCGAGAAGUCCUUCCAUUGCAUUACGUACGUCGUCAAUGAGUUCGUAGAUUACUCUAUACAGACGAAUCUCAACACCUUUAUUGUCUGCGUAGCUCUUUACCGAACCUGGUGCCUUAACAUUGAAUCCAACGAUUAUGGCUUUACUAGCAACUGCAAGAUCAACGUCACUAGUACUAAUAUCCCCGGGCGCUUGCAACAGAAAUUUUAAAGUGACAUUAACUUGCGGAAGCACUUGCAAGGCUUGUCUUAUGACCUCGAUGGAUCCAUGGGCAUGAAAAAGAUCCUUCAGUUCCACAGAAACUAGGAAGAAGAAUUCGAUGCAAUAAAAUAUAACAUGAAAAACAAAAUAACCAACUACCCUCCAACGCAUGAAUUUGAAGCAUGUUAUGUGCAUACCUGAACAUCAACCUUCAUGAUAAUAUUCAGCUGGUGCAAGUCCAGACCAGAAAGCUUUCCUGAUGAAACUGCAGAGGCUAAAGAAGAAAGUGUGACCUUCACAUCACCGGCCUUGGCUGAAAUACGUUCAUUUCGCAAAGACUCUACGCGCGCUUCUGCCUUUUCCCGUGCCGUAUCAAGGGACCCAACAACCUCAAACUCAUCACCAGCAAUUGGAAUGUUAUUCAGUCCAAUUACCUGCCAUGAUUAUAUCACAACCAGCAAAUUAUAUGUGGUGCACUGUAGAAUUUAAGGAAUACAAGACAUGGAAAAUGAACAAAAUCAUUAUAUCCUACAUGGCCACAAUUUCAGUCUAGGUUAUCUACGGGAAUAAGAACAUCUCUGCUUCCCGCUCAUCAUGCAACAAAUGCAUGCUAGUAGUCAGAGCAUGUGACUGCUUUCAUAACAUUUCUAAUCUGGUUUUUCUUUCUAAAUGAUAGUGACUUCUCCAAAACAUGGAUAAUAUAAGAGAAAGAUGUCAGGGGAUGAUUCCCGGUACAUCAUAGUAGCAUCAUGUGUGACAGAUCAUAACAUAAACAUGCCUUAAGCCAAUUUUAACUCCAACUGCAUGUAGGGAAUAUAAAUAUUCUUCGCACUGCAUAACUUGUUUGCAUAUCCAAGACUUAAGGGCUUUUCAUGUGUUACAGAUAUGAAGCCAUAGUAGAAACUCUCAAUGCAGGAAUAUUUGGAUUAAGACCUUAUUCAGGUUUAAAAGAAAUUGCACAUUGCCCAGGUAUUGAGUAUGCCAUUGCACAACUUCUGAACUCAUGAAUGAGAAAGUAUAUUUGCAUAUAGCCUUGCCAAGGAAACAUCUGCUAACGUAUUUGGCCUAAGGAAAAUUUAGAGAUGUUCAUCAAGCGUGGCAAGACCGUGUCAAUGACUUAUCAAUGGAUGAUAAAUCAAAAUUAAGGUUAAUUAGGUAGAAACCCCCAUCAACUGAUGUCACUAGGAGGUGCUGUAAAAUCGUAUCCAAAGUAUCAUUAUGCCUAAGGGAAUAACAACAUAGUCAAAGAAGCACCAACCUGUACAGGGAUGGAGGGUCCAGCUUCUAGGACUUGCUUGCCAUUCUCAUCAAAUAGUGCCCUAACCUGACCACAGAACAACCUUUCAAGCAUUACUAAAUGACAGAGCAAUCUAAAAAUAAAAUAUUGAGAAACUGUCUUCUCAAGUUGCACUGUGCAUAUAUUAAGUUUAACAGGAACUGCUGAGAGUUCAUUUGACGCAGCAACCUUUCCAAAAGCUCCUCCGCAGACCACAACAUCCCCUCUUUUAAGGGUGCCAUUUUGCACAAUAAAUGUAGCUGUCGAUCCUUUAGAUUUAUGAAGACCAGCUUCAAUUACAGUGCCCUUUGCAUUUCUAUGAGGAUUGGCCUUCAGCUCUUGCAACUUCAUGAAAAAUGUGUUUGGGGUUAGCAUAAAAUCACAGCAACACAUAUAAUAACUCCAUAGGUCACAGGAGAAAAUGUUGCACAAAAAACAUGGCCAGAGUUUUAAGAGAAGUCUAAAUGUCAUAAAAUAUCAAAGGAAUUACUCUGUAGUUGUAAGGGGGCUAAAUAAUGUGCAAAAGCUCACUUAAUCAUGAGUUAUAGUAUGUUGCCCAACAAAAGGAAAAAAACAUGAGUCAAAGUAGAAACAGGAAAGCCAUCAGAAAGUCAACCCCGAGAAGUAAAAGAUGGAUCUACUUUUAACAUUACAAACAUUAAAUAAGAGAAUAAAUUGGGGUAAAAACGCUUGCUAACCCACCCCCAGGAAAGAUACCAUAAGGAAAAUUUGCUUCCAUUACAAAUAACUGUACAAUGCAUCAAUCUAGAUAUACCUCCGCAACAAGCAUGACAGUCUCCAGUAAAUCAUCUACGUUCUCCCCUUUGAGAGCGCUAAUCCGUAAAAUGGCACAUAAUACUGUGAGACACCAUGAACUAGCACAACAAGAUGAAAAGACAGAUCCCAUCCAGAGAAAAAGGUGGACCUGAACCAUAGGGAUGUCGCCGCCCCUAUCUUCGGGCAUCAAGCCAACUGAAGAAGGUUCUUGCAUUACCCAUUCUGGACUGGCUCCAUCUUUAUCGAUCUGAUCAAGAAAAAAUGGAGCAGCUUGAUUAGACACAGGAUGAACAAAUAUCACUAUCCUAAAUACGUUUACUUCAAGCAUUUAUUUCUUAUAACACUUCAGGUAAGUUUUGCUUCAGUUGGCGAACCUUAUUUAUUGCAAUCACUAUCGGUACUCCAGCUGCUUUGGCAUGAGCAAUAGCCUCACUGGUUUGAGGCCGGAUCCCAUCAUCAGCAGCCACUACAAUGAUAGCAAUAUCUGUCACUCUCGCUCCACGAGCCCUCAUUGCUCCAAAUUGCCUGUAAGACAGAAUGUAAUUGAAGUUAGACCAGGCAAUUAACAUAAUAGAGAUUGAUCCCGCAAACUAUACCCUCACUACAAUAAUAAGCCUAAAGUUCAGAAGAUCACAAACUGGUUAAUAUGUGCAGCAAAAUUACCUCAUGCCCAGGAGUAUCCAGGAAAACACAGGGUUGCAAUUUGCCAUCCACAGGUACUAGCACCUUAUAUGCCCCAAUUCCUUGCAUAAUCCCACGCGCUUCUGAUGCAGCCACCUGCAAAAGUCUAUCAGUCAAGUCCAGCCACCCAAUCCAUAAUGCACACAAGCAACUAGACCUGACAUUUCACAGGGAUCUAUGACUUGCAUUUUAAAAUUGGUAUAUUCAUUAAUGUCAUUCCUCAACUGGUAACAAGUGAAACUAAACAGAAAGUACAUUCAGGAAACACAUUUAUAAAGGUGUAUAAUGAAGCCAUCUAGAAAACCUUAAAUGCAGAUCCGGUGCAAGAAUAGUUAAAAAGAGAUCGUAAUAGAAGCUUCCAUUCAUACCUUGCUUUUACGAAUAUAAUCCAACAGGGUUGUCUGCAAAACAUUAUGCACAACACGCAUCAGCGUAAGUUAUUAUCAAUGGAGAAGCAAUGCCAUUUUUCACUUGUCUGAGAAAACAAGGGUCUCACUUAUAUUACCUUGCCGUGAUCCACAUGACCCAUGAUAGUCAGCACAGGUGGUCUAUCUUCAAGUUUGUCCAAGUCAUCUUCAUCAAAUAUUUCCUUCUUCCUUGCCAUUUCUUCAACUUUGAUAGGAUCAGCCUCUAUGACCUCCACCUCAUAUUCUUUACAGACCAUCUUCAACAUUUCCUUGUCCAAAGUUUGCACCCCAUCUGGCUUAAUUCCUUUUGAAUACAAAAGUCCAAGGAUUUCACCUUCACUUGUGGCCAAGUUGUAUGCCAAGUCCUCUAUCAACAUUACCUGUUCCCCAACCUCAAGAAUUUCAACUUUCACUGGAGCAGCUUCUUUGGCUGCCUGGAGUCUAGCUGCCUUCCUACUUGCUUUACUCCACUUCCUACCCUUCCUCGCACUAGCUGCACCUGGAAUGGAGACGUUUAGUUCUGAGGCCUCCUCAUCUGGAAUCUCAAUAUCAUCAUUGACCAUUCUCCUCCGCGGUCCACCAGCUGAAGCAUUCUUCUUCCGAUAGUCAUCUUUGAAUUUGCCAGAGGCAGGUCCCUUUGAAGGCUUUGUAGGGGCUAAAACUGCUUGAGCUAUGAGAGGAUCAACAACUGGUUUUUUGGUAGCAAACUUAUCUAUCAAGUUGGCUUCCUUUCUUUAGUUUUUCCCGGAGCAUCAACAUCAUCCACAGUCGACGAUUUUGGCGCUGCCCCAACAUCCUUCAAGAUUACAGGUUUCUUUAAAGCAGGUGGUGGAGCCACAGAAGGCUUGGCCUGUAACUUAGGUUGCAGUCUUAAAGGUGGCUGAGCAGGUCUUAGAGAAGCUCGAGGCUCAUCAUGCUCUUCAACCUUUUGAGAUUCUGGAUCAUCAAUUACUUUGUUGCUAUCGGGAGAAUCCAUUGGAAACUUUACCUUUUGCACUGCGGCAACAUUGUCCCCUUUCCGCCACACACCUCUUCAAAGUCUUAGCCUUUUUACUUCCAGCAGAAUUCACAGGUUUACCGUUUCUAGGAUUAGCACUUGUACCGGAUGGUGUUGAUUUAUUUACAUUUCCACCCUCCUUUUUGCUUGCUUGUCGACCCAGAUUAGACUUUUCGAGCUUUUCCGCCUUCUCCAACACCUCAUCAAGGGACUCAAGAACAUUAUUCUUAUUUUCUAAACCAUCUAGCGUCUCAACAGAGGAAUCUCUGCUAGGUCUCGAAGGUUCUAGCCCCACUGAAUUGGUCUUAGCAUCGGAUGGUUUCACAACAGGCCUUGGUGCGGGCUUCAGUAAAAUCUCGUUGUCGUCGUCUUUAUCCCCUCCAUAACCAUUGUUAGAAUCAAGGGAGACGGCAUUGGUAUGCUCGGCGAUGAAAUCGGUCGUCGUGACCGAAUAUUUACAAUGCCAUCUUUUGACGCUACUCCAGUGUUUGCCUCUCGGGAAGGCAAUCUUGCGAACCGGCGAAUAAGGCACUUCAGAGGAACCCCGGUUGGCACUAGUCCCCGCACUCACGACGGAAGCUGCAGAAGCCAGAGAAACCAUCGUUCCUCCUUGCAUACCUCCCACUAGAAUCAUCACCAUCAGUAAUUCUCACGCAAGAAGAGCCAAACACACUAGGGAGUCAACAGUUCGGUUCGGUUUGGUUUUUCAGUUUUUGCUUUUUUUCGCUUUUGGUUUUUCGGUUACGCCGUCCGUCGACGAACCGUACGACGGCCUUCUUGGCGACGCUUGUAAGCUGAACAGGUAAGCUCGCCCCUGCUCUUGCCCUGUUUUGGGCGCGCCGGGCCGGAGCUCCCGGCCGUCCGGCUCCCGCGAGCUCCGGCCGGCGUCGCCCCGCGUUUUGUUUCCGAUGUCUUGUUCGUCGCGUGUCGAGAGUCCCAGUGCGGGUCGAGCUUCGGUUGACCCAAAAAUCCAUCGUUAUAGUAGCACACCCCAAUUGUUUGAUAUAAUGCCUGAACUGGAUCUGAAAGUUUGGGUGGGGAAUAUUCGUUCUCGUCGUGUCGUUUCGUCUGUGGCCGUCGUUGCCCCUUUCUUUGAUUGAGCAGACGGAGGCAAGCGUCGCUGAGGCGUGGCUUUCGGACGGUAGGGGUGUGUCGAAACCUUAGAUUGGGUCUCGGUUUGGCCGUUCGGGGCAAAGUUUGGCUUCCACCGUGAGGAGGCCAGCGAGGGCAAGGGGGUUCCGGCGACGGCCGAGGUUGUCGACCGUGACUCGCCGAGCACCAGGUGUUGUCGGACAUGGAGGUCGGGGCGCCGGUAAUGCUACUCGGCUGGUCUAGGCGGUGGGGCUUGGUGGAGGCUCGGGCGUGGAAGAGAAGCUACUGUUCAGGAGAUGAGUCCAUCGUGGACUCAAGGCCGGUGAGGGGCUCGUCGUAGCGGUGUCGAUGGUUCGGGCAGGAGGGCUGCAGGUGAGCGUUCGGUGAAGAGAGAGGAGUCGUCAAGGAAGAAGGAACUGUAGAGACUAGAGAAGAUUUUAUCGGUUCGGGGUUCGGUUAACCGAUAAAAACCGAACCGAUAAAAAAAUUUCGGUUUUUAACAAAGACCAAACCAAAAAAACCGAAUUUUUCGAUUCGGUUCGGUUCGGUUCGAUUUGAUUCUCGGGUCGGUUUUUGACACCCCUAAAUCACACCUCCAACGACCGAAAAGAAACGAACUAACAAAUUCUCAAAUUCACAACCCUCUUCCCUCUCCUAAGGUUUAUCAUAACCCACAUGGCGAAAGGGCGAUUUACUCCAAAGGGUAUCAAAUUCCGAGCUCUCGACAAAAUAAUCAAGAAGGAAAUUCAGUUCCACGUACAGGGCAGGCGAGCGAGUUAGUCAGAUACCGGGAGUAGAUAAUUUACCUGAAGCCCGAUUCUGCGAGGAAUCAAGAAACGGCAAUGGGUGUCCGAGAAAUCAUCUGACGAGCGAUGUUUCGGUUAAGAAGAGGAUGAGAGGGAGAGGGAGAAGGGGAGAGAGAAUCCUCUGUGGCUGAGGGAGCGCAGAGGAAAAUAUAUGGCCGUGGCGAUGACGAAAGAGGCCUGAAAUUUUUCAUAUCAUUUUCGAGAUGGGGAUAUAAAUACGUCUCAAUUUCGGAAGAGGAGGACACCAUGACGUGUCUCCUUUCCAGUACCAGAAAUUCAACAACAAGGGAAAGCCCUGAGCAGUAAUUACUACAUUAAGACUGGUGAUAAAGAUAAGAAGUACCCACAAAGACUCAUCUCAGAUCUCUACUCAAGAGCUGAGGGCCUUUUUGACAUGCAAGGUGAACUCAUACACCUUCUGAGGGUCGGGGACAGACUUGGACACGCUCUCUUUAUUCAGGCACCUCUUGGUCCAAGCUAUCAAUUUGGGGCACUCCGCCUCAAUGCUGAAAUUUCCAAACUUCUCGUACGCAUAUAACCAGGUGUAGAAGGGGAUGGCCGCAACGUCCACGAAUCCUAACCUCUUGCCCCCAAAGAAGGGCUUGUCACCGAGCUCACCUUCCAAUAGCUUCAGGCUCUCAAUCAGCUCCUCCUUGGCCACCUCUUCCUUUCCUUCUAUGGUCCACACCUUCCUCUCCAGGUCAUAGAACUGCAAGUAUUUUUAUAAGUCAAUUAGAAUCACACGAUGUUUAAUUUCAACGUCUGCAGAAUUCAUCAUAUUUAGAAUCAUCAUAUUUAGAAUAGGCAACCGAUUUUUGUGCACUAUUUCCUAGAGUAUGAUAAUAAAUUUGCUCGAGAAGUUCUUCCUGAAAGUCACUUCACCGUUAAAAAGAAUUUAAUUGAAUAAACCACAUCUGCAACCAGUAGAUACAUACAUAUAAAGAACAAUCUGAUCAUAUAAGCCCUAAAGCACCCCUUCCAUUUUUUUGUCCAACCAAUUAAGGCAGAUGGGUAACCAAGCAGGCGGCGCUACCGACUUUCAGAGUUACCAUGGAGACAAUGGCACUCGGCAUUACUAACGAGCUCGAGGGUAUAGAGGUGAAAUCAUUCAAACCCCACAAUCACACAGCAAGCUGGUUUGAUCCCUAUGCAAGCGGCUACGGAUUCAGCUACUACAACUACCACGGAGCGUGAGAUUUGAGAAGGGGGGAAACUUUACCUUCUUAUCGACAUAAUCGGCCCAGAACCUGGCCUGAGCCCUCUGCUUAGGGUCGGAAGGCAAGAGGGACCAACCGUCGGACCAGGUCUCGUCGAUGUACUGGAGGAUGAUGAGGGACUCGCAGAUGGGCGUGCCGUUGUGGACGAGGACGGGGAUCUUCUUGUGGACGCGGUUCAUGCGGAGGAGGAGGUCGCUCUUGUUCCUCAGGUCCUCCCCCUUGUACUCGUACUCGAUCCCUUUCUCCGCCAGCGCGAUCCUGCACCGCAUGCCGAACAUGCUCGGCCAGGAGUCCAGCAGGAUCACCUCGUCGGCCAUCGCUUCCGGCUCACCACCCCACGGAGACAUCGCGAAUUCCAAGCGCCUCAAGGUUCAAUGCAGAAGGCGCGCCCAGCUUAGCAAGAAUCAUUUGGCUGAGAAAGUGGGUAUUUAUCGGCUCGAGUCUAAUUAGAUUCUUUAAAAAAUAAGAAGUUGGUCAUCGUUAAGGAUAAUUUCAACUAGUUUCACCUAUUAUACUUAUAUCCUUUUUAAUCGGUCAAAAUUGAAUAUCGAUACAUAGAAUAUAGGGGUGUGCAAAAAAAUUGGGAUCCGCCCGGACCGUCCGAAAUCGGACUGAAACUGUCCGGAACCGGUGAUUCUUAAGGGAACCGGUUGGUACCGAUCCGGUUCCAAAUUUCAUAGGUGAAUCCGUCCAUCCGGACCGGAUCGGUUAUAUUAUAAUAAUAUAUAAAUUUUUAAUAUUAAAAAAAUUCGAUGGGAGAACGUUGCGAUGCGCUUUCAAUAAGCCAAGCGGGGAUUCAAGGGGUGCGCAAUCAGCAUCCAACGGUCCAGUUACAAUGAACGGUGCGUGCGUGGGGACACGUGAGAGAGAGAGAGAGAGUGUGUGAGACGUGGGCCCACGAGGCGGACGACUUUUCUCUCUGCCUUUGUCCCCACUUCUUCGCUUGCUCUGAUUCUCCUCUAAGAACCACCAAGAACCAUCACCGGCAUUAUGGAGCAUCUUCCUCUCUCCUUCUUCUUACUUCUCUCUGUUCUCUCUCUUGCUGGUAAGUUUUGGAAGCUCUCUUUUUUCCUCGUUCGCCAUGUUUUUUUCCGUUCUUUGUCGGGAAACUUUCAAAUGCAGCUCAAGUUGAAAGCUUUCCGGCUCACAAUGAGCAGAAUGCCACGCCCUUUUUCCUCUGCUCAUCGUCCCCAUUGUCUAGGUCUAAGAACGGCCCAUCGUCCCCAUUAUCCUCCACAUUGUGGGUCUCGAGGGAGGAGUGGGAGACGACGGAGGCGGUGGCCAAGAUGGUGGUGGUGGCUGAGACGGAAGUGGAGCGAGGGUCGCAACCAGUUGAAGGCGAAAAGGAAAAAGCGGACCGGUUCCAUGGAUCCACCCGGGAACUGGACCGAACCGGCGGUCCGGUUCCCGGAUGGAUCCAUGCAACUAGCGGGCGGUUCCCAAUUUCAAUUUUUCGGAACCGGCUCUUAGCGGGCGGUUUCCGAUUCUAGGUCGGGAACCGCUCGCCCGGACCAUGCACACCCCUAAUAGAAUAUCACUUUUCUUUUUAAAUUUUCGUUUGAUAUAUUAUACUAAUUUUAUAAAUGAAUGGUACUGCAUAUUUUCAGAAUUACAUUUUCUAAGCAGCAGUUUGUGAUUUCUUAAAAUUUUAUGUGAUAUUAUAGAUUUAAAUCUUUUUUAAUAUAACGCUAUUUUCUAACUAUUUAAAUUUUUAAAACGAUUGGCUCUGGUUCCAAGUUUCAUAAAUACAUCAAGAUUUAUAAGUGAACUUAAAAUGGUGAGUAAGAUAAGGUGAUAUUCAGAAAUCAGUCAAAUUUUACUACAUCGCUUAAUAGAUAAUUUAAAUAAUAUCAGUCAUUACACCUCUGCUCUCAAGGUAAUUGCUCAAAUUUUUUUUGUGGGGGCGGGACGGGAUUUUUCCAAAGAGCAUUGACGUUCGAGACACGGCAUGUACUUCAAAGAUUAUUUUAUUCUCUUUGCGUCCAAAACGACAUAACCUCGUCUGUGAGGCUGCUGGUGCUGAUAAUUCCAGAUUAUUCCACGAAAACGUAAUCACUUUCGUCGUCGCGCUCUCCCACCCAAAACGAAACUCACGAAGGGCAAUGGGACCCACUUUGGCAAGAGAGGGCCCAAAAAAGAAAAAAUAAAGAAAUUAUUGUUCGUACCCUCUUUAUGUAGCCAAUCGUCUAGGAAUACGUAAGAUUGGCCCCCAAAUAAUAAUUUAUCUCUGCUCCUCCAAUUAAAUGCCUAUUAGGGGUUUCAAGAGUUCGAUUCAGUUCGAUUUUUUUUUUUUAAAUCAAACCAAACCAAACUGUUAGGAAAAACUUCCGAACCGAACCGAAUGAAACCCAAACCAAAUACGAAUAGAACCAAAAUUUUAGUUCAGUUUAGUUCGAUUUUUCGAUUUUUGAUUUUCAACUUUCAGUUUUCAGUUUUUGCAUUUCUUUUUUUUCUUUUUUUUUUGGUUGUAUAUAUUUUUUGUUCCCAAGAAAAAAAAGCUUUUAUCGGUUUGUUGGUUCGGUUCAGUUCGGUUAACCGAUAAAAAUCAAAUUGGCCCUCGUCUGGCCAGUGAUCCCAAGACCGGCGAUCGGCCACCUUGAAGAAGAAGAAGAAGAGGAGAAAUAAAGGAAAAAAAGGAAAAAAGCAAUAAAAUUAUUUAAAAUUUUAAAAAAAAAUUAUUUGAAGUACAAAAACAUUAAAAGAUGCAAUAUCAGAUAUGAAACCACAAAAGAUAUGCAAAUAUCUAAGCAUAACCUAGCAAGAGUUUAUUUAGUUUCUCAAAAACCUAAUUAUCAACAGGAAAGGACAUUGACUAUAAGGACAGCUAUUGGCCAAUCAAACAACUGAAUAUCAAAUUGUGUAGCAACUUCCAUAAGCGUAAUGGAACAACACAGUUCAACAUAUUUCAGUAGGUAGUCUAAAGACGAGAACCCAGAUCGGCAAUAGUGACCAGGGUCCGGACGAUUGUUUAUCCAAAGCACAGCUCUCUGCAAAGCCAUGCGGCUGUGGAUGAGUAGAUAAAUCUAUUCUCUAUUCUAAAGGAGGGCUUUAAAGCUCCAAUUAUUGGCACUCGUCUCACUCUAGUGGGUUUGAUCUGGGUUUGUUAGAGGAAACUCUAUUUUAUGAAUUUUCCCUUUUCCUUGUCAUUCUAAGUUCUUUUAAUAUGAAGUACGAUCCAUUUUAGAUCUUUUUACCUUCAUAAAUUUGAUGCUAAUCUAAUUUAUUUUCGCAUAAGUACAAGCGAUUAGAGGUUUGUUUAAUUUUGGGGGACAAUGUUAGUUUCCUCUUUCUUAGAAUAUUUUUUUCCAAAAAGUACAAAACCUAUUGUAUGAUAAUCAAUUUAAUCUUGAACUUUUAAAUUUUACCAAUUAAGUGCUAAAACCUUUCGAUAACUUGCCAAUUCAAUUACAAACUUUUUAAUUAUACCAAUUUAGUCAUAAACAUUUUAAAGAUUUCCCAAAUUAAUCAUAAAUAUUUUAACAAAUUGACAAUUUAGUCAUUCUAGGUAAUUUGAGCAAGAUAUUACUGACAUAGCCGUUUGUCACGACCUACCCUUGGGGGAGGGAACGGGUUUAGGGGUAUUGCCUAAGUGACGGGUCUAAUGCUCAUGAUCAGCUGUGGGCUUUCCUAAGCCCAUACCCCGCGUGACAUUGGGAUAUUCUUUAGAAUUUUGCACAAAAUGAGUCGCCACUAGCCUAUUGGGGUCAGCUAGAAACCAAGUGAUGUAUGAAAAUGUACCUCACUUCCUACGCAACCAGAGAAUUUAGGGUCAAGGAUUUGAUUACAUUAAUUGAUCAAUUAAUGCCCUUUCGGUACCUAAUCCCGUUCAUUUUAAAAAAAUGAUUUUUGGCAAGCAAUUUGGAUUGAUUUUAUACCUAUCAACUAACAUACGAAGUGAUCAUGCAGGUGCACAAACAUUGAAAUAACAAUCAUAGCUAUCAAGAUCCUAAUUGCAAUAAAAUUAAAUAAAUAUGCAAAUUAAACAUGCAACAUAUAAUCAAAACACAAGCAACUAAAUGCCUAAUUACACUAAAAAUGCAAAACAUAGCAAUUCCUAACCAAACCCCAUCAUUUUUUAAUUUUCGAAAUUUCUUAAUUAAUUUUUUUAAUUUUUUAAUUAAUUUUAAAAAAAAUUUAAAAAAUUUAAAAAAUUAAAAUUUUUAAUUAAUUUUAAAAAAAUUAAAAAAAAAAUUAAAAUUUUUUUAGUUUUUUUUUUUAAUUUUAAAUUUUUUUAAAUAUAUAUUUUUUUCGAAAUUGUUUUCUCUUUUUUUUUUUUAGAUUUUUUUUUUUUUUGGGACCGGACUGAGUCGGGUCGAGUCUAACUGGGUCCGACUCAACCGGGCCCGGCCCGACCGAGUUAGGCCCGACCAUCCCUGGUUGAGCCUAACUUAACUCAACUUGGGCCCGAGAGUCGGGCCCAAGCGAAAAUAAGAGUCGAGUGGGCUAGAUUUGGGAUCUGGCCCACUCAACAGACCUCCCCUUGGUCGCAACUGGGUAGUCGUGAUUGGGUAGUUGCGACCAAGGACGCCGAGAAGACGCACGCCGGUGAUGGCACUGUCGCGGCCAAGUAGGGUGAGCAGCGCGGCUUCCCUGGCUACAACAGCGUCCCUCCAGCAGUCAGGGGUCCUAGGGCUCCAUGUGGAGGAGCUUUGGAGGGAGAGAGCCCACUUGGGCAUUAUGGUGAACAGGUAGAUGGCAUGGGCGAACCAGGAGGCUUCCGACCUAAACCGGACUCGAGGCAGCAACGGCGGUGACCAGCAAGCAAACACAAACAGACAGGAACCUAAGGGGGACCUACGGAGGCCGGAGCUCGCUCGAAACGAACGGAACGAACUUCGGCCAACUCAAACUCAAAAUGCACUCCAAGUAUUCGAUGAAAUGCCAACCUGAGUUCCGACGGGAAUGGCAGCUUGGAAGACGUGUCUGCAGCGGUGGUGGCGGCAAUUGCGGUCCGGAGAUGUGUCGACGGCGGUUGCAGCGGUCGGGAGACGCGUCGACGGCGGCAGCUUUGGUGAGUUCCUCCUCCUUUUGCUCCCUGUUUCUCUCGCUUUCCCCCUGUUUCUCUCUCUGUUUCGCCUCCUGUUUUCUCUCGAUUUCUUUUUUCGUCCUCUGUUUUUCCUCUUUUUUGUGUCUUUUUGCCCCCUCGGCCUCUCUCUAGAUCUCUCCCUUUUGUUGAUCGUUCGGCUCGCGUGCAUGUGAGAAUCGGCUCUGACCUCUCUUGCCGCUUCCAACGCUCGCCUGCCCCACGAGAUGAUGCUGUCUCCUCUGCCCCCUGCCCCUGCUUUCAGCUUCGCCAUUUCCCCACACGAACGGCUACUUUAUGCUUUCCUCUUCGCUGAUUCCCCGCGCAGCAAACGGCUGAGGGAGAAGACAAUGGGGCGGGCCGGGCCGGAGGGAAGAAGAGGGCUGGGCCAUGCAAGGGGAAAAGAAAAAAAAAAGAAAAAAGAAAAAAAAAAGAAAAAGGAAAGGGGAGGGUUUGAGCCCAGGCCCACGCGGGGUGAAAAUAAAAGGAAAAGGGGGCCGAGUUGGGCCAAGGCCGGAUUCGGCCCGACCGGACCCACACAGCUUUGCUCCCCCCUUUUUUUUGUUUCUUUCUUUUUUUGAGGAAAUUAAUAAAAAUAAAUAAAAAUAAUUUGAUUUUGAUUGAUUUUUUUUUUAGAUUUUUGAUUUGAUUUUGAUUUUUUUUAUUUGAUUUUGAUUUUGAUUUUAUUUUUUUAUACUAUUUGAAAGAUAAAAAUUAGGUGUUAACAGCUGCCCCUCUUUGAAUGUAGUCUCGAAGAGGCUGUAAUCAAAGACAGAAGACACCUAAAUUAUUUCGGCGAUAUAAUGACCCUAGGUGCGUAAGUACGCAUUAGGUUGAUGGAAAAUGACUCAUAACUAUUGAAAUGCAUCUUGUCAAUACGAUGAAGAAAGACUCCGGGUUACAGAAAAACGCCGUGUCAUCAUAAGAAGGACUCCGGGUUACAAAACUCUCCAGGCUACAAAAGCUCUCCGGGCUAUAAAAGCUCACCAUGUCAUAAGAAGGACUCCGGGCUACAAAGCUCUCCGUGUCAUAAGAAGGACUCCGGACUACAAAGCUCUCCGGGCUACGAAGCUCACCGUGUCAUAAGAAGAACUCCGGGCUACAAAAGCUCUCCGGGCUACGAAGCUCACCGUGUCAUAAGAAGGACUCCAGGCUAAAAAGCUCUCUGGGCUACAAAAGCUCUCCGGGCUACGAAGCUCACCAUGUCAUAAGAAGGACUCCGGGCUACAAAGCUCACCGUGUCGUAAGAAGGAAAGAGAGGAAUGAGGUCUCCCGUGUCACAACGGGUUUCGACCGAGUUAAAAAUGCAUGAUUUGAGGGAAACCAAUGAACCUUUGUAGAUAACAUGAUUUAAGGUUGACGAUGAACCUUUUGAAAAAAAAAUCGCAGUUUAAAAAUAGACUCAUGAACAUUUUAAAAGUGUGGUUUAAGAAUAGACCCACAAACUUUGUGAUUUAAGGAUAGACCCACAAACCCUGUGGUUUUAAGGAUAGACCCACGAAUCGUGUGGUUUAAGGAUAGACCCACGAACCCUGUGGUUUAAGGAUAGACCCACAAACCCUGUGAAAACCGCAUGGGUUCACCGAGGAAUCCUGUCAAACUCAACUUGAGCAAAUGUCAUUAGGGACGUCAUCAAGAGACGUAUCGACAAUAUUAUAGCAUUAAUCAAACAAGUUAAUCAAGCUAAGUUUAACUGCUUUAAAGAAAACAUUCGAUGUCAAUUAGCAUCAUGUAGCGCAAAAUUGUCAUCUUGCUCGGGGGAUGUAUCAUUAAUCAUCAAAUUCUCUGGGAGUCAAGUUCUUAUCAGAACAGCUACGACUCAUGAAAAAGACUCAUUAAGCAUGCCAAACUAAAGUUUCUUAGUCAGAAAGGGCUUCUCACACACUCUCGAUAGAAUGACUGCUUGAAUAACUGAUUGUUGAGGGUAUCUCACAUAACCCAUGUCAAAGGUUUCUAGAAACAUUCGCAAUGAGCACAAUCUGAUCGAUCAAAAAGGUCUUUUGAAAGGACUGUACUAUAUGCUCGGUUAGGGCUUACACAAAGGAAUGAUUUCUUUGAGCCCAAUAAAGAAACAUUUGUCACUAUCUUCAUCGGCUUUACAAGUCGAGAGCUUGGAAGAUGAGACAAGAUAGAAUUACUUCCACUCAUUCAAGCAGUAGCUUCUUUGUGGUAUUCUCAUUUUCACUCAAAUCAUCCCAAUCAGAAGAGGCUCCGGAAAAGGGUUAUGAUGUUGGCUUGGGAGAGGCUCGAAAGGCUUAAAAUUUUCAAUAUGGUUUUAUAGAGUCAGUGAUCAUCAUGGCAUCGUGAUCAGGUCACUCGACCUUUUGAAAGCAUUUGGCUUUUGAAAUACAACGCGUUCUCAAAAGUCCCUUGACUAAUCAUUUCUGCUUGGGAGCUUUGCCCCUUUUUUCUAAUUUCCUUUGCACUUGCAAUAAUAAUAAAAAAAUUUCUUCGCAAGCACUUGGACUGUGAUAAUUUUUCACAUAAGAUGCAGCCUUUUGGCUCUUUUUCUUGACGGGCAUUAGCAUUGCUUUUACCAGGCAUACAGCUUUUUUAUGCCCCUUAAUUUGUUGAACUUUUUGCUCUUUGAACUUUUGGAGCCCCUAUGACUUUCGAGAUGCUUUUCACAUUUUCUCAUGACUGCCAAUUGUAUUCAGUCAAUCCUUAUGCCUUGCCCCAGUGAAGGGAGAUGAUCACCGUUCGGGGGUUCAGAAAUGAACAAUCGGGCCUAAAUUGGCUAAAGCAACGGGUAUCAGUGUUUGGAUAGAGAAAGAAAUGCUCUUCUUCACAUUGGGAUGAGUCAAGCUCUAAUGAGAAUUCCUCUAAAGCUACCACCAGAAGAUUGAUGCAAGUGAAAGUAAUAAAAUCUUUUUCAAUAUUUUGCUCCGCAACACAACCGUAACCUCCUAUGUUGCCCCAAUGUAGGGUUGUCCUCGACAGGGGUAUUUUGAAUGAUCAUCUUUGCUCUACCCAAAGGGGUAGUAAGAGAUUAGUGUAAUACUUGGGGUUGGUAAAGAAAAUGCCUUUUUCAUUUCGAUCCUUGUACUUAAUGCGAAUGAAUCAUCCUUCCUAAGAGAAUGUCGCUUUUACUCAAUUCUCAAAAGUGUUUGAAGGAUGUGUUUGGAAAUGGCUUGCCUUUCUUCAUCCUAAUCACUUCUUGUUUGGCACGGUUAAUGUUUCACCUUUUUACUUGAAUAAAAUCAUUUUGACGAGCUUCCCUUUUCGAGGGUCACCGAUACAAAGCACGCAUAGUUGCACCGAAAUAGGUCAUACGAAUGAUGCCAUGUUUGUUUGUUUGUUUGUUUUUUUUUUUUUUUUUUGAUAUCGCAUCUUGCCUUUCAUUUAGGAAAAAGAGAUUCAACCGUUCGUGCAGAGACUUGAUGGAUCCUUGAAUCAACCCUUCCCUCCACCAUUUCCUCAUCGAACGGCAAGGUGCCUGAAACACAAAUAGAUAUGCGUGUAUGUGACAUAUGUCUAAUAUCUAUGAUGUAUGUAUAGUGCCAUGAGACUCGGAUUGUGCAUGAAGUGGCUCCUCGACCUUGAUUUCAAAUCAUGGAAAGUAUUUCUUGACUGCAUCAGUGUUUACAGGUCUAGACAAUUCACUACCAUCCAUUUCAAUUAAAAUCAAAGCACCACCAGGCAGAAUCUUCUCAAUGACAUACGGCCCUUCGUAGUUUGGGGUGAAUUUGCCAUGAGGGUCUGGUAUAAUUGGAAGCACUUUCCUUAGCACCAGAUCGUUGACUUCAAAGUGUCUGGGACGCACCCUUCAAUUGAAGGCCUUUGCUACUCGUCUCUGAUAGCAUUGUCCAUGACAUACAGCUUGCAAUCUCUUCUCAUCGAUCAUGUUUAAUUGCUCAUGCCUCUGUUGCAUCCACUCAGUCUCAUUGAGUGUAGAUCGAGAAAGGACGCAUAGAGAAGGAACUUUGACUUCAACAGGCAAGACCGCCUCCAUCCCAUACACGAGUGAAAAAGGAGUUGCCCCUGUGGAGGUGCGGAUAGAAGUUCGAUACGCCAUUAGCGUGUAAGGGAGUCUAUCGUGCCAAUCACGAUAAUUUUUUGUAGUCUUUGAUAGGAUUUUCUUUAUGUUCUUGUUUGCCGCCUCCACUGCUUCAUUCAUCUGAGGACGAUACGGUGACGAGUUCAAAUGCUUAAUUCGAAACUCACUAAACAAUCCAUCUACGACUUUGUUGUUCAAAUUAGUGCCAUUGUCGGUAAUGAUCGCUUCCGGCACCCCGUAACGAGCGAUAAUGUCACGACGAAUGAACUUUGCCACAUUCUUGGUAGUAACAUUAACAUAUGAAUUGGCCUCGAUCCACUUGGUAAAAUAGUCUAUCGCCACCAGGAUAAAUCGAUGCCCAUUUGAUGAAGUUCAUUUGGGGGGGCAUUUAUCCUAUCUCCAUAAAUAUGACACUGGUGACAUCGUUGUACGUGUUGAAUGCAGUCGGACUCCAUGGUCAGUCAAUAAUAACCGAGUCGCAUGAUAUUUCUCACUAAGAAGUGUCCAUUCAUAUGGGGGUCACACUCCUCUUCAUGUAUCUCCUUCAUCAAACGGUCGGCUUCUUUAGCGUCGACACACCUUAGCAAUGUCGAGUCGAAUGACUUUUUAUAGAGGACAUCUCCACUGGCAAAGAAUUUCGAUGCUAACUUUAUUAAAUGCUUUAUGUCUGCUACUUCACUUCUUUCGGGGAAUUCACCCUUCUGCAGAUAGUUCAAGAUGUCGUAAUACCAAGGCUAUCCGUCCAGUUCUUCUUCAAUCGUCAUGCAAUAAGCUGGGCGCCUAAAGAUUUCAAUUCUUACCGGUUCAAUAUCCAAGCCUCCAACUACUUGUAACAUUGAAGACAAGGUAGCUAGGGCAUCAGCAAACUGAUUUUGAGACCUUGGCAAGUAUUCAAAUGAUAUUUCUUGAAAUUCUUCCGUCAACUCCCUCAGGAACUCAUGAUACGGAAUCAAUUUAGAAUCAUGUGUUCGCCAUUCGCCUUUAGUCUGUAAGAUGAUAAGGGCUGAAUCACCAUAAACUUGCAUCUUUCGGAUCUUCAUGUCAAUAGCAGCUUGGAGGCCGAGAAUGCACGCUUCAUAUUCGGCAAUAUUAUUCAUGCAAGGGAACGUCAAUUUAGCGGCAACAAGGUAGUGCUGACCAUUUAGGGAGAUAAGAACUGCCCCGGUACCCGACCCGGCUAAAUUAACUGCACCAUCGAAGUACAUCGUCCAUUUGUCGCUUGAUACAAGUAGAAUUCGCUCCUCUACAUCACUAUCCUCAUCAGAUGUCCUGAACCUCUCGGGACUUUCUGCCAACAUGUCUGCUAUGGCGCGACCUUUAACAGACUUCUACCCCAGGCUCUGAACGUCAAAUUCUGAAAUUAAGAUUUACCACUUGGCCAACUUGCCAACCAGUGCCGGCUUCUCCAGGAGGUACCUGAUGGGAUCAUUUUCAGUCACCAACAGGAUUCGGUGAUGGAGUGUGUAUUGCCGCAACCUGUGCAAGACCCAAAUCAAAGUCACACAAGUUCUCUCAACUUCUAUGUAGUUCAUCUCGGAAGCAGUAAACUUCUUGCUCAAGUAGUAUAUCGCGCAUUCUCUCCCGUCAUUUGGUCUUUUCUGUGCUAACAUGGCUCCCAAUGAUUUGUCAUGUAUAGUCAAGUACAAAAUUAGGGGAACUUUAGGGAGAGGGGGAACUAAGACUGGUGCGUGAGUGAGAUAGUGUUUUUUCUUCUCGAAGGCACCCUGACACUCAAUAUCCCACUCAUUCUUUGCAUUCUUUUUCAGGAGCUUGAAAAAUGGCUUCGCUGUCUCAGACAACUGACAGAUGAACCUCGCCACAUAAUUAAGCCGCUCUAUCAGGCUGCGAACUUCCUUGGUGGUGGUUGGGGAUCGUAAAUCACAAAUAGCCUUAAACUUUGAUGGAUCAAUCUCUAUGCCCUUGUUACUAACUAUGAACCCUAACAGCUUCCCCGAUCUCGUCCCAAAAACACAUUUUGUGGGAUUAAGGCGUAGCUUGAAUUUCCAAAGACGUUUGAACAGUUUUUGCAAGACUCCAACGUGGUCCUCACCUCGUCUUGACUUUGUGAUCAUAUCAUCCACGUAUACCUCGAUCUCCUUGUGCAUCAUGUCAUGAAACAACGUGACCAUGGCUCUUUGAUACGUUGCCCCAGCAUUCUUUAAACCGAAAGGCAUCACUUUGUAGCAGAAAGUUCCCCAAUGAGUUAUGAAUGAUGUUUUGCUCAUAUCUUCCUUCUUCAUACGGAUUUGAUUAUAUCCAGAAAAACCGUCCAUGAAGGAGAAUAACUCAAAUCCCGCCGUGCUGUCAACCAAGACAUCGAUAUGCGGGAGUGGAAAAUUGUCUUUGGGGCUUGCUCGAUUUAGGUCACGAUAGUCAACACAUACCCUGAUUCGCCCAUCUUUCUUCGUUAUAGGCAUGAUAUUUGCUACCCAAUCAGGAUAACGUGUCACUUCGAUAAAAUCUACUUUCAGUAGCUUCAUUACUUCUUCUUCGAUCUUCUUGGACAACUCUGGUUUAGUUCUCCUGAGUCUUUGCUUCUUAGGUGGCAUAUCAGGAUCUGUUGGCAGAGCAUGCUCCACAAUUUCGGGGUCCAAUCCCGGCAUGUCGGCAUAUGUCCAAGCGAACACAUCUUGGUAUUCUUUCAGAAGAUUAGUCAUCUUUUUCGCCUCUGACUCUAAGAGACAUGCAUUGAUCCUUACUUCCCUGACAUUCUCUGCAUCACUUAAAUUCAUGGUGAUUGUUUGCUCUUCUGUCAGCGGCUUCAAUCCUUCUUGUCGAUUCCAUUCGCGUUCAAUCCCCUUCUGAUCGUCAUCGUCAGUGUCAUCGGAACCUGAGAGGCUUUCUUCAUGCACGUCCGAGUUAUAUGCAUCAUUAUUAUGAUUAUGCAUAAUGUAAUGCCUAAGAUGCGAUGAGAUGAGUUAGAGCAAUGUCAACAAUAAAGAUGAUGCAUGUCUUUUUUCGAAGAAUUUUUUUUAAGAUAUUUUUGUAAAAGUUUCAAGAACUCAUCCUCAUAUCCUCGGAUUUCCUCGUCCUUGCAAGGCAGUCAAAUAAGGGAGCAUGUGGAGACCUAGGCCUCAGUGACUAUCAUAGGACUAGUUUGAUGUGCCUCAACAUGUCCUUAAUAAAACAUGUGUCUAUUUUAUUGAAUGAGGAAAGAUAAGACCGUAUUUUAACACACACCACCCACGACCAACGGCUCAAGAUCGGGGUUAACCAUAGUUCACAUUACAAAUGACAUAAAACAAAAGACUAGGCUAGACGAGAAUCACCCUACUUUGAAGGGACAGCCAUGACUUCAGAGGACUCAGCUUCCUCGUAUGCCAGGAUGGUGCAUAUGACGUCUUCCUCGAAUAGCUCAGUCACACCAUAGAUGUCCCCUUCUUCUUCAAAUAACAUCCUUGGAGGUCCUGGAAACGUUUCUUCCAACAACGGGUGAAACGGGCCUUGAUUGCCUUCACCCUCCUCGAUUUGGGCAAUACGUUCACUCCAAUCUCUAUACCCACCUCGGCCUCCUCGGGCAUUUCGACCUCUCUGCCUUCCACGGCCCCCUCAGUUGUCACGACCACCUUGCUCGCUAUGACCUUCUCGCCCCUCAACAUAUCCUAGGCCUCUCCUCUUCGAGUUUUUAUGAGCUUCAAUGGGCUUUCACACACCCUGACCGUGUGACACAAGGCCCUCUCCAAGAUUAUACCCGCUUGCCAGCAUAAUCUUUCCCGCAGCUAUGGCCGGCUUAGACAAUUUAGGAGCUUUUGUGAAGGACCCUACAGGCACAUGGACCAUGGAUAUCAGGUCAAGGGUUUGAAAGCUGGAUUCCUCGGUACACUCAGGCUCCACAUAAGGGAUUGCUGUCUCGUGAUAGAUCUUGAAGUCGGAUUCUCCAUGGACCGUGAUAAGUCUGUUGUCCACUGCGAAUUGUACCUUCUGAUGGAGGCUGGAGGCAACAGCACCCGCUGUGUGGAUCCAUGGCCUCCCUAGCAGAAAAUUAAAAGCGCUUGGUAUAUCUAACACCUGGAACACGGCUUGAAAAAGUACAGGGCUAAUCAGCAGCUCAAGUUCAAUUUCCCCUAUCACCUCCUUCUUCAUUCCGUCAAAAGCCUGCAUAGUCGACUUGCCAGUACGGAUUCUCCCAAGAUCAAUGCCAAGAGGGUGGAGAGUAGCCAACGAGCAUAUAUUGAGCGUCGAACCGUUAUCGAUCAAUGCUCUGCAAACAAGAGUGCUUUCAUGUUUCACCCAGAUGUGUAGCGCUUUGGUAUGAUUAGGACCAUCCGGGGGGGGGGGGAUCUUCAUCAGUAAAGGAAAUUUGGUCUUUCAGUAGAACGGCCUCAACAAACUCCUCCAAUUGGACUUCAUGGAUUGAUUCUGGCACGUGCACCUCAUUAAGGACUUUCAGCAAGAUGUCCCUAUGCUUCUCGGAAGAUUUGAAUAAUUCCAGGAGGGAGAUUUGAGUUGGCAACUUUCGAAGUUGAUCCACCACGUUGAACUCACUGAACUUUACUAUAGCCAAAAAUUGUUUUGCCUCCUCCUCGGUCACGGCCUUCUUUUCUACUCCCUUAUUAGGUGCAUAACAGCGGCCUAAUCACGUGACAGUAUCUACCUCAUUUGUUCCAUAACCCCAAGGUACAGCUUUAGGAUCGAAUUUAGGAGGAUACUCCAGCAUUAUCAUUCCAUCUUUCUCCUGGGGAGGCAAUUCAAUCAUAACCGGUGUUGCAUUCCCUCCCAUGACUUUGAUUGUCGACAUCUCCUGGACCAUAAGGUCGAUCACCAUGGGUUCAGCGAUUCCCAUCUCAAUAUUGUCAGUGGGCUCUUCAUCAGAUAGUUCAAUCACCAUUGGGGUUAUCAUAGCUAUCACUCCUUCCUCAUACAAAGCUAGGGUCUUUGAAAUUCUAAGCAUAACCUUCCUCGCUCGAGACAUAUCAGCAAAGUUGCAGAAAGAUGAGCAGAAUGACGAUGGCAUUAUCACGGUUACAACCCUCUCUUUCUCUUCUCCGCAUCGGAUUACCCCCAUGACUACCAUCCUGCGGACGCAGUUCAGUUUUUCUUCUAGGGUCACAUCCUCCUGACCUCCAUAGUAUCCCGCUAGCACUAGGGACUCAUACAGCUGGGAAGCAUCCACCACUAGAGGCUGUUGACUUGCCCACGUGUCCUCAAAAAUUGAGUUAACUCCCCCUUCAUGAUUUGGUAGGGGGUUUUGCUGCACGUUAGGCUAAGCCUCCCUGAAAGUCAAGAUCUUCUUAUCUAGAAGCUGUUGAAUUUUGUAUCUCAGCACAUUGCAAUUAUCUAGAUCAUACCCCACUUCUCCUAUAUGGUAUUCAUGGGUCUUGGUCAUAUCGAAACCGGCGAACCUUGGGGGAUUGUCUAUUGGCACUUCCUUCGCAACCAUCCUCUUUUCAAGGAGCAUGGGCAACAGCUUUGAUAGCAGGCGUGGUAGUGGGGAAAAUUCCUUUCGAAAAGGCCUCUUGUUGUUAUCAUAUGCUCGUGAUGAGCUACCUUGAACCAUCAUAGGCUUGUGCGCGGGUGUGGCGGACGUUUGAGGGAAAGGCGGCCCUUGCACAAGUGCUACUUCAACUGUGGCCUCCUUAUCUUUUCUUGCUGGGAAUUUCUUCGUGCAUCCAGUUGAAAUCUUUCCUUCAACCAUUACCCAUUCAACUCCUUCACCUACCUCAACUAGCUGUGAAAAUGUCUGGCAACCCGAGAACGCUUAACCCUUGGAAAUAUUCAGAGGGCAAUGUCUUGAGGAACAGUUGCUUCAUCUCCCUCUCAUUCAAGGCCAGCUUCACUUGUGAGGCCAUAGUCCUCCAUCUUUGCGUAAAGGCUUUGAACGACUCAUUCCUCUUCUUCUCGAUGCGAGUCAACUCUUCCCUUGUGGGGGCGAGCUCGGUGUUAAACCGAUAUUGCUGCAAGAAUUCAUUAGUUAAAUCAUCCCAACUAGUGAAUUCUUCAAUGUCCAGCACAAUGAACCACGUCAGGGCAAUGUCUUCCAAACUAUCUUGGAAUGUGUGUAUGAGGAAUGGCACGUUGUCAGCAUAGCGAGCCAUUUUCCUCAUGUAAUACCUAAGGUGGGUCCUUGGGCAUCCCGUUCCGUCAUACUUUCUUGUGAACUCAGGUUCCUGGAAAUUCUCAGGAAAACUUGUCUUGGUGUAUGGAGAUAGCCUAUCAGCUCCUUUCAGCUCGUAACCUUGCAAGACACAUAAUCGCUCUUCCAUCUUUACCAAACGUUUUUCACUAUCUUCACUUAGGCGGGGUGUUGGGUUUUCUUUUGGAGGAGGAUCCAGAUUGACGAUGAUUGGCGUGACAGAAGGAGCUUCUCCGGUAAUUUCUUUCCCGGGGAGAUUAGCAACGUGCGUGCCUCCCGUCGAUGGGGAAGCGUGUCUUGAUAACGUAGGAGUGGACGUUCUAGUGACAGCUAUAGUGGGGGGGUUCCUUAAGCUUCUGGCUUAUUUCAAGCAUCAUUGCGGUGAGUUGGGCCGGCUGGUCCUCCAUCUUUGCCAUGCGCAUGUUGGUGUCAUCGUUCUCCAUUUUGACUUUUGUGCGCGUGCGAAUUAGAGAUCUCCGCUUGGCCGUGUCAACGAUUAGUAGAAGACAAUCGAUUGGUUAGUACCUGAAGCAAAGGUAGAUAAGCAUAUAUAAGUACAAGUAAUAAUUAGGCGGUCGGCCCACGACAAAGAUCUAAUUGCCCCAAUUUGUUCGUUUCAUUCAAAGCUAGGUUGCCACAUAAUACAAGAAAAACAUGAUAGAAAACCCCUACAAACAAAGCUACUUCGAAAAUGGAAAGACAUUCUUUUAACUCCCAACAUUGAGACUUGAGACAAAUUCUUUAACAUUGCAAUGCAUGUGAGUAUGGUCCCGCUACAAAUCACACUUGACUCAAUCUAACUAAUAAGGAUGGUUUCCGCUCGUGGCAGCUCCACUAACUCGGGUUAACUUCAAAGUACGUUCCUCUGCCUCCUCGAGCUCCCUUUUGAGGCGCUUGAUCUCGGCUCGAUGGGUGAUCUUUAAUGGCACUUCAAGAAUCUUCAGGCGGAGGCUCUCCGGGAUCUUGUGCUUAAGGAUGUACUCCUUCGAGGCAUAAUAGGUCUUCUCUUGCCCCUCCAACUCUUCUUCAGGCCAUAUCAGCUUCCGGGGGUGGCACGUAUCCCACAUCGACUUGACCAACGCGACAGAGUCCUCAUGAUCUUGGCAUCCGUCAAGGAAGUCUAUCCUAAGCGGGUCUUCCUGAAUUGACGGUGGAAGCUGUUGAACCUCUUGAAACUGUCGGGUGACUCGUGUCGGGUAAUAUUCGAUGACUCUAGUGAUUCCCAACAAAGGAAUAGGUCCCGUAAGCCCACACACGAAUCGCGCUUUUUGAACUCGAAGUCAUUUGGCAUGCCAUUGGAAAUCCUCAGGUCCGGGGUUGGUCAUGAAAACUAACCACUCAGAAUAAUGAUAAUCAAGGGCAAACAUUUUCCUAUCUCUAAACUUUAGGAUAGGGUGGCUAGAGUUAGAAAUGUCGCUCACAGUCAUCAAGUUACCGAACCCCUUCAUGUGAGAAAAGAACUAAAUUUGUAAGAGUUCAGGGGGAGAAUAGAAAGCUUUGUUUUUGUUUUCUUUAAAACGAGUAAGGGAAAGAAAUGUUUCAAUUAGGACGGCAUUAACAAAACCAUUUCCCAUACAUACUUCACGAACUACCCAUGCCACGGAGGGGUUAAUAGCGUUCCUAUAAUGCGAGAAUAAUAUAAACCCGAAGAAAGCUAAGAGGAAAAUCCUAUUCUUUUGAAAAGAUUUGGCAUUUUGAAAAAGCUCAUUUAAAAAUGAAAAUGGGCAGGUCUUGCGAUUAGCUUUUAAAAAUUUCCUCGCAUCCUCUUCUUUAAUUUUAAGGAAAUCAAAUAAGGUCAAUGCAUGCUCAGUCCCUAUAGGUGGGCUAACUAACUUGAACACCAAGGGCUUUCCAAUGGCAACGCCGUAUUCUUCCAGGGUGUUGGAGUGAGUUCGUGAUCACCGAGUAUGAACGUGCAAGUUGCGGGGCAUAAAAAAUGCGCUAACGCUUGCACAACACCAUAAUGAGUUUCUAUCUCCAAUAGGAGAAGUAAACGUCCAACAUAUGAUCGCACCCAAUCACGGCCUAUUGGAUCUAAUCUAUUCCACCACUCGCGAAGCUCGGCUUUCGGGACGGAGAUGAUGCGAAGGUCGGAUACCCCCAUCGUAUGAUCAACCUAAUUUGUCGUGGACCGGCCAAAAUCAAAACAAAUAAGUAAAUUACGAUGAAAAGAAUUCAAGAAAAACCUACCCUACUCAUUGAGCAGCGAUGUAAAGGUCAUAGACAUGCGCAUGGACAGUGGUUCAAUUUCUACUCUAGAUGGCCCAAAAUGAAGCCAUGGGAUCACGGGAUUGAACCAACAAGCUCGUGGCUAGGUCGUGUUACCCAUGACUCCGGCUUCGUCAAAGAACCGACCCGUGUCGCAUGCUCGCAGACCAAGGUGGGGACCUCUGACAUCAAGAAAGAAAUUUCGGGGUUGAGAUGGGCGACUCGUACUACAUGCUUGUAGUCGAAAUGGUAUCCACCUCAACACCAUCCUAUGUGAUCCUAUGCGGCCCAGGUCCGGCGGCAGGUUGUGUGUGCUAAAGUGUAGUGCAAUGCAGGAGAUGCAGGCAUGACAAUUCAUAAGCAAUCAACACUUCAUACAUGAACAAUAAACCAUACAUUCCUUCACCUCCCUACAAGACAAAGGUGAGCAAACACUUUCCCUUAUACCUCACAUUCUACAAAAACAUUUAACACCUUUAAUGUUAAGGACAAACCUGAAAUCUUCGCUGCCAAACAAAAAUAUUUAUGAACAAGAUUAAUAUUGGUCUAAGUUCUCUAAGGUUUAAAACCAAGUCCCCAGCGGAGUCACCAAGCUGUCACGACCUACCCUCAGGGGAGGGAACAGGUUUAAGGAUAUUGCCUAAGUGACGGGUCUAAUGCCCAUGGUCAAGUGCGGGCUCUCCCAAGCCCAUACCCCGCAUGACAUUAGGAUAUUCUUUAGAUAUUUGCACAAAAGGAGUCGCCAUUAGUCUAUUGGGGUCGGCUAGAAACCAAGUGAGGAACACUCACUUCCUACGCAACUAGAGAAUUUAGGGUCGGGGACUUGAUUACAUUAAUUGAUCAAUUAAUGCCAUUUCGAUACCUAAACUCGUUCAUUUUAACAAAAUGAUUUUUGGCAAGCAAUUUGGAUUGAUUUUAUACCUAUACACUAACAUACGAAGUGAUCAUGCAGAUGCACAAACAUUGAAAUAACAAUCAUAGCUAUCAAGAUCCUAAUUGUAGUAAAAUUAAAUACGUGCAAUUAAACAUAAUUAGAUAUGCAAAUUAAACAUGCAACAUAUAAUCAAAACACAAGCAACUAAAUGCCUAAUUACACUAAAAAUACAAAACAUAGCAAUUCCUAAAGAAACCCCAUCAUUUUUUAAUUUCCGAAAUUUCUUAAUUAAAUAUUUUUAAAUUUUUAAUUGACUUUUUUAAUUAAUUUUUAAAAAAAUUUAAAAAAAAAUAGUUGUUUUAAAAAAAAUUAAAUUUUUUUAAUCUAUAUAUUUUUUUUCGAAAUUGUUUUCUCUUUUUUUUUAGAUAUUUUUUUUUGGGACCGGACCGGGUCGGGUCGAGUCUAACUGGGUCCGACUCAACCGGGCUCGGCCCGACCGAGUUAGGCCCGACCUUCCCUGGUCGAGCCCAACUUAACUCAACUUGGGCCCGAGAGUCGGGCCCAAGCGAAACAGGAGUCGAGUGGGCCAGAUCUGGGAUCUGGCCCACUCGACUAGGUAGUCGCGACCAGGGGCGCCGAGAAGACACACGCCGGUGAUGGCGCUGCUGUGGCCAAGCAGGGUGAGCGUGCGGCUUCCCUGGCUACAACAGCGUCCCUCCGGCAAUCAGGGGUCCUAGGGCUCCAUGUGGAGGAGCUUCGGAGGGAGAGAGCCCACUUGGGCAUUAUGGCGAACAGGUAGAUGGCAUGGGCGAACCAGGAGGCUUCUGACCUAAACCGGACCCGAGGCGGCAACGGCGGUGACCAGCAAGCAAACAACAACAGACAGGAACCUAAGGGGGACCUACGGAGGCUGGAGGUCGCCUGAAACGGACGGAACGAACUCCGGCCAACUCAAGCUCAAAAUGCACGCCAGGUAUUCGAUGAAAUGCCAACCUGAGUUCCGACGGGAAUUGCAGCUUGGAAGACGUGUCUGCGGCGGUGGCGGCGGCAAUUGCAGUCCGGAGAUGCGUCAGCGGCGGUUGCAGCGGUCGGGAGACACGUCGACGGCGGCGGCUUCGUUGAGUUCCUCCUCCUUUUGCUCCCUGUUUCUCUCGCUUUCCCCCUGUUUCUCUCUCUGUUUCGCCUUCUGUUUUCUCUCGAUUUCUUUUUUCGUCCUCUGUUUUUCCUCUUUUUUAUGUCUUUUUCCCCCCUCGGCCUCUCUCUAGAUCUCUCCCUUUUGUCAAUCGUUCGGCUCGCACGCGCGUGCGAAUCGGCUCUGACAUCUCUUGCCGCUUCCAACGCUCGCCUGCCCCGCAAGAUGAUGUUGUCUCCUCUGCCCCCUACCCCUAGUUUCGGCUUCGCCAUUUCCCCAUGCGAACGCCUACUUUCCGCUUUCCUCUUCGCUGAUUCCUCACGUAGCAGACGGCUGAGGGAGAAGACAACGAGGCGGGUCGGGCUGGAGGGAAGAAGAGGACUGGCCAUUUAACGGGAAAAGAAAAAAAGAAAAAGGAAAGGGGAGGGUUUGAGCCCAGGCCCACGCGGGGUGAAAAUUAAAGGAAAAUGGGGCCGGGUCGGGCCAAGGCCGGACAGCUAUCGGCCAAUCAAACAACUGAAUAUCAAAUCGUGUAGCAACUUUCAUAAGCGUAAUGGAACAACACAGUUCAACUUAUUUCAGUAGGUAGUCUAAAGACAAGAACCCAAAUCGGCAAUAGUGACCAGGGUCCGGACGAUUGUUUAUCCAAAGCACAGCUCUCCGCAAAGCCAUGCGAAUGUGGAGUAGAUAAAUCUAUUCUCUAUUCUAAAGGAGGGUUUUAAAGCUCCAAUUAUUGGCACUCGUCUCACUCUAGUGGGUUUGAUCUGGGUUUGUUAGAGGAAACUCUAUUUUAUGAAUUUUCCCUUUUCCUUGUCAUUCUAAGUUCUUUUAAUAUGAAGUGCGAUCCAUUUUAGAUCUUUUUAACUUCAUAAAUUUGAUGCUAAUCUAAUUUAUUUUCGCAUAAGUACAAGCGAUUAGAGGUUUGUUUAAUUUUGGGGGACAAUGUUAGUUUCCUCUUUCUUAGAAUUUUUUUUCCAAAAAAUACAAAACCUAUUGUAUGAUAAUCAAUUUAAUCUUGAACUUUUUAAUUUUACCAAUUAAGUGCUAAAACCUUUCGAUAACUUGCCAAUUCAAUUACAAACUUUUUAAUUAUACCAAUUUAAUCAUAAACAUUUUAAAGAUUUCCCAAAUUAAUCAUAAAUAUUUUAACAAAUUGACAAUUUAGUCAUUCUAGGUAAUUUGAGCAAGAUAUUACUGACAUAGCCGUUUAGUCAAUGCUAAUUGUUCCAUGUGACAGAGCUAACAUUGAUGUGAAUAAUUUAUUUAAUUUAUUAAUUUUUAAUUUUUAUUUUUUAUCUUUUUUUUUUAUCUUAUUUAUCUUUUAAGAGAGAGAGAGAGAGAGAGAGAGAGAACCAAGAGGCCACCGGCAACCUUGCUAGCCCCUGGGCGAAGGUCAUGGAGCCCUUGCCCCGCCCCUUGUUGGCCAUGGUAAGGGCAGGUGAGGGCUGUGAUAUGCUCAUUGUGGCUUGCAAGAGCUUGGCAAAGGCUGUGAUGCCCUUGUCCGAUUUGGUGGGGGGAGGGCGUUGCAACCCUCGCUAGGCAUAGGGAGGGCUUAUGAGUCCUUGCCUAGUGGCCAAAGGAGUCAUUGGCCCUUGCUUAGUGGUGGGCAGCCUCCUAUCCUAAGUUUUUUGGGCAAAAAAGAUGGACAAAAAAUAAAAUAAAAAAUUUUCAGAAUUGUUUUUAAAAAUUAAAAGACUAUUUGUAUGAGGGUCAAUCUUACCACAUAAGAUGAUUUGCAUUGGUUAGACCACUACGUUAAUGAUGUAUGGCUAAAAUUAGUCAAAAUAGCAAAAUUGACAAUUUGUUAAAAUGUUUAGAACUAUGAAAGUUUUAGGCACUUUCAAUGCGAAUUACGAUCAUCAAUUGCACAACAAUUAAGGCAUAGGACUGAUUAAGUAAUGAGAUUGAUAGUUAUAACCGAUCUAAGAGCAUCUGAAAUAGUCACUUCACAAGAUGGAGAACAUAUAGUAGCUCAGGAACAGGGACGGUAACAAAGAGAGGCCUUCUUCCUUCGACUGUUUUUUUAGCUCCGAUAGCUAUGCAAAUCGUAGUCCAUAAUUCUCAAGAGAAAAAACGAAACAUAGGAAGGAUUCCGAAGAACGUCCAAAAACCUGAAAUGUACUCAUGGACCUGACCAGAACCUUGGCACAACAUCAACCAGCAUGCCUUUCUUAUAUGCGACAUGGUGCAUGAUGGUUUUAUUAAUGUGAUGGGCCUAAGUUGGCUCGUCUGCCCAUGUUGGGCCUAAAAGCCCGGCCCACAAGAUUAGAGCCCAUGGAUGGAGGGAUAUGAUGAAGGGGCGCGUUUCUUUUUGGAGGAGACGUAUAUAAGGGAGAAAAGAGAGGGAAGAAUGCACCUUUUGGCAUAUUACGUACGUUCCCUCCUCCCUCUCUCCCUUGAAACACCUCCAAAAGAAAAACAAACGCAAAAAGGCGACGCCAUCUUCCCUUCAAGGCCAAUUGACGUCAUCGGAUCGAACGGAAUCGUUUUCUCUUCCUCAUAUCGGCGUCGGUGUUUAAUCUGUGGCUAACAAGGUACGCUCGAUUCCGUGGUGUGCUUUAGGAUCGGUGAUACAUGUGUUUUUCCCGGGCUCGUCUUCCGCAUAAGUUUAGGGGUUCGAUUUAGUGUCGAAUCCGGUUUUUGGUAAUUCGACAAACCCAACAUUGGUAUCAAAGCCGUAGUUCUUGUUUCCCGAUCCUUUUUCAUGUUUUUCCCGACCCCUUUCAUGUUUAUGGAUGAUUUGUUAUUGAUUUUUUCGUGAAAAUAAUCGGCCGACACCGAUCGGGGCGAAAAUCCCAACACCCGUGCACUGGUCAUCCAUUUUUUCGAGUUUCUGUAACUCAAAAUCGAUUUCUGAUGGCGUUGGAUGGAAGGUCUCGUCGAGACGAGCGUAGCGAGUGGUGGAAUGCUGCCAACGGUCGCUGGACGCGCCCCCACACGCAGCCGGAACGAACCGGUGUCUUUGGCGCGUGCGUUGCACGCGCCGAUUCACUAGGGAAGGUGCGUUCAUCGCACGCGCACUUGCGGCCAACGCACGCGCACGCACGUGCGACGCACAUGCGCGUGCGCAGUCGCUCGUGUGUGCGAGGCACGUGCUGGGUCGAUUUGUCCAACCUGGCCCAACCGGUCUGUUCGGUUCGACCGGACCGACUGGUCCGACUAGCCCACCCGACGACCGUUGACUGUUGACCACCGUUGACCGUUGAUCGUUGACCCAAAAAAAAAAAAAGAGGAAAAGAAUGUGUUUCUUUUUCCAAUUAAGUUUAUAUAGACUAUAUGUGAUCCCUUAUUUGUUAUGCAUUUGUUGCAGGAACAAUGCCUCCCCUUAGGUUGCGCACACAUAUUCGUGCAAUUACUGAUGAACAAAAGGAAAUGCUUUCUAAGUUGAUAGCUGAGCUGACUGAUCAUUGAUGGGAGAGUGGUGACUUAAUUGAUCAUGUUCUUGAAGUCAACAGGAAAAUUCAAAAGGUCAUAUGGAAUGGUCGUCCCUUGCCAUAGUCUGAGAUGGUGCGAUUUUUCAUGAACAUUCUUCCACCAAAAUGGCGAGUGUUGAAUCGCAUAUGGGAUGUCAACAGAGCCGCUUCAUAUAGGAAAAUUGUGAUAGAUUUUAUAGAUGAAUAUUACUGGAUUGUUACAAGGGAAAAGAUCAAGAAAUUGAACAAAAGAGGAUCUUUUCCAAUUCGUGUAUUAACUUGGUGUUAGAUGUAUUGGUUGGCCUUUGCUAAGUGUGCUUUGUGGAUAUCUUAUGUAAUGUUUACUAUCUAAUUGUGUUGUUGAUGUAGCGACUGAUAUGUUAGUUGUAUUAUAUGAAAGCAUUAUUAUUCUAUAGGAUGUCAAAUAUUAUUUGCUUUCUGUUAUUAUUGAUUGAUGUGGGUAGUUAAUAGAAGUUAUUUGUAACUUCAUAGAAUUUAUUUUGCAUAAGACAAUUAUAUUAAUGAUAGUUUUAAGUUAGGAUUUUUGGAGGAUGAUUGGAAACAUAGUGACCUCUUGAUUCUGACACCUUACUUGAAAUUGUUCAUUAAUAUGAUGGGUUUGUGCAAAAUGGAUGCAUAAAUGAUAGGUAUUAAUAAUUCGUGCAUAUAUGUCUGAUGUGUUCAGAUCAAUGGCUUCAGCCACAAAGAGCAUAGUUGCCGAGCUAAACAAAGGUGAAAAGCUCAAUGGCGAUAACUAUGAAAUCUGGCACAUGAAAAUCCAAUAUGUGCUAGAAGAGCAAGAGGCACUAGAGGCUCUUAACCUGACCAUGGUAGAACCUGAAGAAGGAAAUACUGCACAGCACAAGAGAGAUAAGGAAGCAUUCGCUGCAUGGAAAAGAAAGAACUCUCUUGCUCGCAUUACGUUGCUGAGCAGCAUGGACAAUGACUUCAUGCGAGAGUUUAGGCGUUUUGACAAUGCCAAGGAAAUGUGGGAAGCAUUGGCAGCAAGAUUUGGUCAUACUUUGGUAACCAGACUGAGACAGUUCACUAUUAGAUUUGACUCUUAUAAGAAGCCUCAUGGUCAGACCAUGAAGCAACAUCUUAGAAAGAUGUCAAACAUGAUUAAUGAGUUGAAAGAUACUGGCCAUAUCCUCACUGAUGAGCAGCAAGUGCAAGCAGUGAUUCGUUCCUUGCCUCAGAGUUGGGAGCAUAUGAAGGUGCACUUGACUCAUAAUGAUAAUAUCAAAACCUUUGAGGAUGUAGUGCGUCAUCUUGAGCUAGAAGAGGACUGCCUCUUGGCAGCUAAGUCGGAAGUUGAAAUAUAUCAUGCUGGUUCUAGCUCACAUGGAGCUUCGAGCUCUAAGCGCAAACGUCUUAACUGGUUUGAUAAAGAGAAAGUCAAGGAAGCAGGUCCUUCGGGGAAGAAACCUAAGUUUAACCAACAUGAAAGAGGAAAGCGUCCUCGAAUGAAGAAGCUUACAAGGGUGAAAUGUUACAAUUGUGACAAGAAUGGUCACUAUACUCGCGACUGUCGUGAGCCAAAGAAGGUAAACACCCCUUGUACUUUUAAGAACUUUGUCUAUGUGUUGAGUUUUGUGUUCUUAACUGAGUCUAAUCCUUUGUGGACUGUAGAUUCAGGAGCGACAGAUCAUGUAGCGAAGGAUAGAGAAUCAUUCGUGGAAUUCCGACGAGUACCAACUGGAACUAAGUGGGUCUAUGUGGGAAACAACUCCAGAGCUGAAGUGAAAGGAAUUGGCACCUGCCAACUGAACAUGCGUGGUGGACGCAUUUUGUUCCUAUAUGAUGUAUUGUAUGCUUCGGAAAUUCGUCGGAAUUUAGUGUUUGUUUUAGUGUUGGUUAAGCUGGGUUUUAAUAUGAACUUCCAUAAUAGAGGUGUGGAUUUGUUUUUGGAUACAAAUUACUAUGGUUGUGGUUAUUUUCUGGAUGGUUUCAUUGUAUUAGAUAUUGACUAUGUUAAUGCAAAUGUUUGUUAUUCCCUUCUCAUGUCUCAUAAUUUAUAUGAUAAUGAUGUGAAUGUGUGGCAUGAUAGACUUGGUCAUAUUGGCCAACAACGUAUGAAUAGACUAGCCAAAGAGAGCUUGUUGGGCAACAUUGAAAAAGUCGAUUUGUCCAUAUGUAAGCAUUGCCUAGAAGGGAAAACAAUAAGAAAACCAUUUGGAAAAGGUAAAAGAGCUGAAUUUCCUCUGCAUUUAAUCCAUUCUAACGUAUGUGGUCCAAUGAAUGUGAGAGGAAGGCAUGGGGCUAUUUAUUUCAUCACUUUUAUAGAUGAUUAUACUCGAUUCGGAUAUAUCUAUUUGAUUUCUCAUAAAUCUGAAGCAUUGAGUUGUUUCAAAAGGUUUAUGAACUUAGUAGAAAAUCAAUUAGACAAGAAAAUAAAAGCAUUAAGAUCUAAUUGAGGUCGAGAAUAUUUAUCUGAUGAGUUUAGAAAAUUAUGUGAUGAAAAGGGAAUAGAAAGACAGUUGUCUAUUCCAUAUACUCCUCAACAAAAUGGUGUUGCGGAAAAAAGAAACAGAACCCCACUGGAAAUAAUUAAGUCCAUGAUGGCGCAUGCUAACUUACCUAUCACUUUUUGGAGUGAUGCGUUGUUAACUGCUGCCUAUAUACUUAACCGGGUGCCUUCCAAAUCAGUUACUUCCACUCCAUAUGAGUUAUGGACAGGUAGAAAACCGAACUUAAGUUUUCUUAAGCCAUGGGGUUGUGCUGCCUAUACUCAUGAGUCCUCUCACAAGUUUGGGAAAUUGAGUCCCAGAGGAAAUAAGAGUAUUUUCAUAAGAUACUCCGAACACUCGAAAGGGUAUGUGUUCAUAGGUGAGCAAGAAAGUGAGAGUAUAACUGAAUUUGAAUCACGGAAUGUCACAUUCUUAGAGGAUGAAUUUCCUAAGAAUGGCGAAAUAGGGGAAGAUUACUCCCUAUUCGAAACCUUGGAUCAAGAUAAUGAUAUUAAUGGAGUUUGUCCAAGUGGGAGUAAUAUGAGAAGUGAUGAAUUGAAUUCAACUCAUUCUCAAUUGCAACCACAUGAUGAGACGACGUCAUCAUUAUCUAAUCCUAGUGGGAGCAUAAUGGGGAAUGAUGUACAAAGUGUACAAUCUCCCAUACGGCGAACAAGUCGCCAAAGUGUUCCCCAUCGACGUUUUGACAUUGAAGGGGAAACUUUUAUAAUUGCUCCACGAGAUGAGGGUGAGCCAAGAAAUAUUAAUAAUGCUCUAAAUUGCCCUAGUAAGGAAAAAUGGAUUCAUGCAAUGGAAGAGGAAAUGGAGUCAAUGAAGUCAAACCAAGUUUGGGAACUGGUUGAUCUUCCAAAGGGACGCAAAGCUAUUGGGAACAAGUGGGUUCUCAAAAUAAAGCGAAAAGCUGAUGGCUCGAUAGAAAGGCAUAAGGCUCGCCUUGUGGCGAAGGGGUAUAACCAACAGGAAUGAAUUGAUUAUGAAGAAACAUUUUCUCUUGUAGUGAGAUUUACCUCAAUUCGCAUUAUUCUGGCAAUAGUGGCUAAUAUGGAUCUUGAGUUACAUCAAAUGGAUGUAAAGACUGUUUUCCUCAAUGGAGAAUUAGAGGAAGAAAUAUAUAUGGAACAACCUGCUGGUUUCAUAAUAAAAUGCCAAGAAGAAAAUGUAUGUCGACUUUUGAGAUCGAUAUACGGCCUUAAGUAGUCGUCAAGACAAUGGUAUAUAUGUUUUCAUAAUGCCAUAAUGGCAUAUGAUUUUACAAUGAUUGAUGGUGAUCAUUAUGUAUAUAUCAAAAGAUCCAAGGAUCAAUUUCUGAUCAUAUCAUUAUGUGUUGAUGAUAUACCAAUUGCCGGAAGUAAUAUGGAGUUUGUUAACACUGUCAAGAGUUGGUUGUCUUUCAACUUUGAGAUGAAGGAUAUGGGUGAGGCUGCAUACGUUCUUGGAGUUAAGAUUUCAAGAGAUCGUUCGAAAAGAUCGUUAUCUCUUUUGCAAGAAAUAUAUAUAUAAAUAAGGUUCUUGAACGAUUUCGUAUGCAAGAUUGUAAACCCAUAGAGACUCCUAUUGCAAAAGAUGAAGGAUUGAGCCAUAGACUGUGUCCAAAGACUCCACAAGAGAAGGAACAAAUGAAACAUGUUCCUUAUGCUAGUGCUGUUGGAAGCUUGAUGUACGUUAUGAUGUGUACAAGACCUGACAUAUGUUUUGCAGUUGGAAUUGUGAAUAGAUACCAAUCCAAUCCAGGUCAAGCAUGUUGGAAAGCCGUUAAAAGAAUACUAAGGUAUCUAAAGGGAACUACUGAUUAUACACUAAGUUAUCAAUGAAAGGAUUUGCGACUCUAAGGUUAUUCUAAUGUUGAUUAUGGAGGAGAUUUAAAUGAAAGGAAAUCUACCUAUGGCUUUAUUUUCUUACUAAAUAAUGGCGACAUAUGUUGGAGCAAUAAGAAACAAACGUAUAUAGCCUUGUCCACGAUGGAAGUUGUGUUCAUGGCAUUAUCAGUAGCAGUAUAAGAAGAUGUUUGGCUUAAGAGAUUUUUGGAUCAUUUAGGUGUUAUUAGAAGUGCUGCAGAUUCAUUAUUGGUUAAUUGUGAUAGCCAAGCAGCAAAAGCAUACACCAAAGAUCCAAAAUAUUAUGGCAAGACCAAACAUAUAGAUACCAAGUAUAACUUUGUCAAAGAUAUGGUUGCACGAAAAGAUGUGAACUUACAGUACAUAUUACGCAUAGAAUGGUAGCAAAUCCUAUGACAAAGCCAAUACCUAAAGAUAUGUUUUGUGGCCAUAUGAAAUUUCUAGAAUUGCGUAGAGGCUGAUGUACCGAAUAUUAUAAUUUCCCUAAGUGCUCAUAUUUGAUGAAUUUGUGUUUUCAUCAUUAAUGUCUAUGAAUCUUUGUUUGAUCUUUAUGCAUCUUAAUGCUCAGUGCAUUACUUUAAGUUGAGAAAGUAUGUCAGACAAAUAUUAGAUUGGCCCACUCACAUGGGUAAUCGCCUCUAUUUACUAUGUGAUAAAUAGAGAUGAGACUGUUUUUAAGCUUAUUAUCUAGGUGAUAAUUGAGAGCUCAAGCUUAAAAUACGUAUGUCGCCUUAACUGGGUGUUAAGAUGAGGACAUAAUACUUACUAUGUCCGAAAGUAAAAUAACCCACAUAUUUUACUUUAUCUGUCUAUGAUGACGGAUGUGAGUUCUGAUGAAUUUUGUGAAUGAGUAGAUACGUGAACUCAAGUUAGACAUUGGGUAUGUCUGAACUAUCAUUUGUACGGUAUUGAAGGUGUAGACAUACGCUCCAUGGGAAAGGAGUUAAUACCGUAAUACGUAUUUCAUACUACGUAUGCAUGAGACGACCAAUAAGAGUGGCAAAUGUUUGAUCUCAACUUUUAUGCCGUGUGAGACUCUUGAGAAAAAGAAUUCCUCAAGUUUAGUGCCCUAAUGACUUUUACUUAUUCUCAAGAUUUCUAUUUAGUGUUUGUUAUCUUAGGAUGUUGCCAAUGGUCAUGAGUAGAUUCGAUCUAAUGGGACAUUUUUGGAAAAGCAAGCUAAACUGAAAUUGAGAGUUUGAAGGAAAGAGGAAGAUCGAAUUUAGAGAAUCACAUUCUAAGUUUUGUAUUCACCGGUCGACAAAUUAUGACUAUCUUUGAAAUAAUCAUAAUUGUGAAUACAAUAUAUAUCAUUGUUUAAAAGAGAUUAAGAGAGAUAUAAAUGUGAUCGAUCGAUCUAGGGUACUGCAUACUAAAUCUACUCAGAGUGUGAUGCCCAUUAUGAGCUGCUAUAUAUUCCUAAUAGAUGUAUAGCAACGAGCUCUCAAAGUAUGCUGGUCACACGGAUUAUUCACCAGUAUGAAUGUUGAAAAGAGGUAAAGAGAAUCAUGUUCGGUCCACCAUGUGCGAGUGGGAGAUGAUGGUUUUAUUAAUGUGAUGGGCCUAAGUUGGCCUGUCUGCCCAUGUUGGGCCUAAAAGCUCGGCCCACAAGAUUACGGCCCAUAGAUGGAGGGAUAUAAUGAAGGGGCACGUUUCUUUUUGGAGGGGACGUAUAUAAGGGAGAAAAGAGAGGGAGGAACGCACCUUUUGGCAUAUUACGUACGUUCCCUCCUCACUCUCUCCCUUGAAACACCUCCAAAAGAAAAACAAACGCAAAAAGGCGACGCCAUCUUCCCUUCAAAGCCAAUUAACGUCAUCGGAUCGAACGGGAUCGUUUUCUCUUCCUCAUAUCGGCGUCGAUGUUUAAUCUGUGGCUAACAAGGUACACUCGAUUCUGUUGUGUGCUUUAGGAUCGGUGAUACAUGUGUUUUUCCCAGGCUCGUCUUCCGCAUAAGUUUAGGGGUUCGAUUUAGUGUCGAAUCCGGUUUUUUGGAAUUCGACAAACCCAACAGUGCAAGAUGAGGAGAAGACUCCACAAAGUGUCCUCUCAGAACAUAGAACUAUAACAAAACACAGAAGUCCCUUACAUGCAUAGGAUCGCAAACAAAGAUAGCAAAUUCCAACAGCCACAUAGCAGGAAGGAAACGGGGGUCUAGCAAGAGCAGAAGCACAUUCCCCUACUCUUUGCCCCUCGCGUUCUUGCUUUCCAAGAUGAAGGCACACGACUUUCGUGGGUCGGUGAGAGCUUUGGACGCGCUCUCCUUCUCCAAGCAUCUCUUGCCCCACGCGGCGAGCUCGGGGUAUUCGGCUUCGAUGCUGAAGUCCCCACAUGUCUCGUAGGUGGAGAACCAGCAGUAGAAGCCGAUGAUCGCUAUGUCCAAGAACCCGAACUUCUCGCCCCCGAAGAAAGCCCGGUCCCCAAGCUCACUUUCUACCAGUUUCAGGCAUUCGAUGAAUUCCUUCUUUGCCGCAUCCUGCUCUUCCCCUUUCAUCGUCCACACUUCCUCCCGAGAUCAUAGAACUGCAAAAUUGUUGACUUUUAUAAUUUACUUCAUAAUGGUACCGGAUCAGAAAGAAUCAUUAGAAUCAUCACAAGCUGAUUAUUAGUAUAGCAUUUCGUGCUGCAAUAUUACUUGUGCAACAUCAUCGAUUUCCAACAUGUGGUGAAUUUAUUACCAGGAUUGUUCUGUCCAACCAUUUGUCAAGCGAGAUUACCAAAAAAAAAAAAUGCAUAAAUUCAUUACACUUGAGCUAAUUCAAUCUUAAACCUUUUAAUUUGAUAAAUGUAAUCCUAGAUCUUUUGACAAUUUACUAAUUGAGUUCCUCCUAUCAAUUUUGGUCAAUAACCACUGACAUGGACACCGAUUGUCCUAUAUGACACGAUUGACAUUGACAUAAACAAUUUUUGUAAUUUAAAAUUUUUUCUUUCUUUCUUGUUUGCUUUUCUCUUUGCUUUUUUUUUCUUUUGGCAUUGUGGGAGCGAGGAUCACGAAUGAUCCUUGCUAGCUGCGAGAGAGGCCGCCAUGGCCCUCGCAUAGGUCUGAUGAGGGCCUUUGCGCCCUUCUUCACUAUGACCAUCUCUCCCACAGCCGACGGGGCUAUAAAAGCCCUCGCCCAAGGCCUUUGCAACCUAGUAGCCGGCAAGAGUUGUUGGGGACCACAAAGAAAAAAAAAAGAAAAAAUAUCUUUUGUAAAAAUUAUAAAAAUUGUUUGCGCCAGUACUAAUUACGUCGCAUAGGAAGACUGACAACCACUGUAGUGAUUUCUGGUUAAAAUUAAUCAGGUAAAUUAUCAAAAUAUUUAGAAUUAAGUUAGAUAAAUUAAAAGUUAAAGAUUAAAUUAGCACAAAUGCAAUAAAUUGAUGACACUUUUAGAAAAAAUGAAAAGCCAUACAAAGAAUCAUUGAUAGUGAAUGACGACGACGACAACAACUUAAGCCAGAUGAUCUUUCUUCGCAUUCAGCAUGAGAUAUAAAUAGCUAAAAACGAUCGCUCCAUUAUGAAGGCGCGUAAAUGUCAAUGCCUUCAUUCUCCUGUACCUAGCCUAGUCUACUAGGAUAAGGGUGUCGCAGGAGUCGGGCCCAGGAGGACCAAUCCAAGUUUGGUUACAAGUCCCCGGCGGUUUAUCAUUACUCUCUUUUUACGUUAGAGAGUUGAUUCCGAGAGAAACGACUCGAGUUUACGUCUCCAGUUCGACGGAGUAGUUUAAGGACUUGCUCAGAUCCAAGGCGCGUAAAUGUCAACGAAGAAUCAUUGACGAAAUAGACGACUAUAAAAACAGAGGAACUAAUAAUACCUUCUUGUCGACCAAAUCGGCCCAGUAUCUGGCUCGGGCUCAUUCGUUUGGAUCGGAUGACAAGAGACGGGCCUUAUGGCUCCAGGUCUCAUCGAUGUACACUCCACAAUGACGAGGGACUCGCAGACGGGCUUGCCGUUGUGGAUGAGGACGGGGAUUUUCUUGUGAAUCGGAUUCAGCUGGAGGAGGAGCUCGCUCUUGUUCACCGAGUGCUCCUCCUUGGACUUGUGCUCGUCCCCUUUCUCGGCCAGCGCUGCUCGGCACCUCAUCCCGUACAUGCUCGCGCAGAAGUCCAGGAGGGUCACUUCUUCAUCGGCCAUUUCCUUCAAGGUCGUGUGCUUGGCCCUUGAGAAUCGGAGGAGAGGAUUAUCGAAGUGUUGAGGGGUGAAUACUAGUUACUGUUGAGCGAGCGGUCCACCCAGGAUAAGCUGAGUAAUAUUUCCACACAAACAACACAAGUCGCGGACGGUGUAUAGGACAUGUCGUUUCUCAGCAUCUCUUCGAAACUGGAGGAAGCAUUUUGCGUGAAUAGUAAUUAGUCAAACAUAAAAUUCUUGUUUCUCAUUAAAAUAGAUAGCUGUGCUUGAAAUUUCAAUACAUUUCCUCACUUUUUGAUGACACGGAAUGCAUCGGCUAUGUAAGAUGCUUUCUUACGCAAACGCACGAAUACAUAUGGUUUUCUGUCAUUGAAACUUCUACUUUUAUCAUCGUGAAUUUCAAUCUUAAUUCAACAAGGAUCCAUGUAUUUUAAGUCACCCAGGUUGACAUCUUUAAAACAAUAAAAAGGUAACUAAAUAAUAAACUCAAAAAUAAGAGGGAAAAGCGUCCAAAAGAAUCCAUGCAAGUUCAAUGGGAGUGAUCAGCUCCAAAUCUAGAAUUACUAUGUUAAAAUCAAUUCCUAGUUUUUGAAACUUGAAAUUUAUCCCGUUUACCUUGAAAUCGAAAAAUUACAAACCGGUAUAUUUGUAAUAAAUUGAAAAUAAAACCCCAAACUGAUAUAACGAUUAAUUGUUAUAUGUUAUCAAACUCAAUAAUUUAAAGGUUAAAUUUAAUGAAAACUAACAUAUCGUAAAUUUGUUAAAAGUAUGUCGGUUUAGGAUUUUUUGUUGUCAAAAAAUUAAUUUGAAUAUAUUUGUCAUAAAUAUAUCAAAUACUGGGUUUUUAUAAUAUUAACCCUUAUUAUUAUUAUUAUUUUCUUAUCUAGGUUACUCAUUUAAUUAUUAACCUGGAAAAAUGGUUAAUGAUUUAAUUACAUGUGAGAAGCAUCAAGCAAUUUAUAAUGAUUUUGACUUGGCCUUCCAAGUUAUUAUUUUAAGUUGACGCUUUUGGUUUUCUUGCUUCAAUUGUAGCCAAGAUCUGAUGAAAUUCACUUUAAUCGGGCAUGGCAACAUCGCUGCAUUUAUAUCAUCUCUUGCAAUGAAAUUCAUCCACACCGCAAAAUUUAAUGAGAUUCAUAUUCAUCUACUUUUUUUUUUGGGUCGUACAUAUUCAUCUACUUUAUACACGAAAGACCUUAAAAAUUCAAUAGAUUCAUACCGAGUGCACUCAACUUAUUUAACGAUUUAUUAUCCCUUGGACGGACGACAACUUUCACUUCCACGAAAACCACGCCGUCCGUCGUGUCAUUAGAGUGCGACCGCAUUAUCCACACAGCUCAUGAUCAGCCUUCACAAUUUACGCGUCGGCAAUGCAUUGCGAUGGGACAGCACACCUUUUUGCAGAAAGAUGCAACUCUCGAGAGCAGAGGAAAAAGCACGUGAUAUCACACAAAAAGGGGUCCCAGCUCGCUUGCCCACACUGCUCGGCCUUCACUUGUUUUGGUCGGCAGACAAUGAUAGCUUCAGUGUUGAAAGAAGAUAUGGUUGAUGAUAUGGGAUUUGAUUGAAGAUUUGUAUUGAUUAUAAUCGAUAGGAAAUGUGAUUAUUUUAGGAUUAGAAAGAUUAGAAUAAUUUAUUUACUUUUUUUUAUUGAAUCCACUUGUACGAUAUAUACAUCAUUGUAUUACAUAGAGAAAUCAAUGAAGUAAAUACAAUUUUCCUCUCCACACAAAAUUCCCACAUUCCUCUUCUUGGAUUCGUGACAUGGUAUCAAAGCGUGUCUUGAUCCUGGCAUAGCUUCCGCACUAAAAUCAGCCUUUGUCUCUUCUCUGUUCCUUGUUGCUGCAACACUCGCAAAACGGAACAACAUCUUGUCUUCUCUGUUUCUUGUUGCUACAACACUCGCAGAACAGAACAACAUCUAGCAGGAAGUUAUUCAUCUAGCCUUCAAUUCUUUGUUCAAAAACUAAUCUACAAAACAAAGUUGUUGCAGAAUUUUUAGAAAAAUUGUCCUCAUGACAAAUCCACAAGCACUUACCUCAGGAUCCGAUGAUUAGUUCAUAGGAGAAAUAACGCCACAAGUCUCGCAGAUCCAGGAAUCAUCAUCAAUUGUCACUAUGUCCGAAGAGUAGAUCCAAUCACAGAGUCAAACUCAGCAUACACAAUGGGUACCUGUUCCAACUUAGGUCAAUUUGGGGCAACCCAAUUCGGGCCAACCUUACCAAUGGGUACCAUAUCCUUGGUAGUAUGGGACGGGCCUAAAUGCAUCAUUGCCAGGAUUUCGAAAUGGUGUACAGACUGAUGGAGGCCUACCAGCCAGCAAUGGGGCAAGCAUAAACACCAAUUCACAGCAGACGGGCGGAUCAGCUGAACCAGGUAUGGGAAUAAAUCCCUACUCGGGUUCGUUUUUUUUUCCCAAUGCGGGUCAUACAACCAAAUCUGGGGGAUCGGGUUUGGGAGCAAAUCCCUACUCGAAUCUGCCACUAAGGUUUCUCCCAUACCAGAUCUACGCUGCCAACAGCCGGCCGGAGCCUGGCGACUCUCUUUUCACAACUAAUGCCGACACCAGAACUGAAGCUUGUUGCUCAGCAAUUAACUGGACCAGAUAAUUACUCGAGAUGGUCGUGUGAGUUCCAGUGUGCUCUGGUAACGAAGGAUAAGGAGGGCUUUAUUGAUGGAACGGUUCCGAUUCCGUCCGACGAGCGACUAGCGCGACUUUGGAAAAAAUGUAAUGACUUUGGAAAAAAUGUAAUCAACUAGUCAAAACGUGGAUCGGAAACAGCAUCGCUUCCGAAGUCGUGGCCGGUCUUCCCCCGACGGAGGACUCAAAACAAAUGUGGGAAAACAUCAAGGAGAUGUAUGGAAAAUUGGAUUAAGUAAAAAUCUUUUCUUUGACGUAAUAGAUCUCGAAUUUAAAGCAAGGAAACAUGACUAUUGCUAUGAUUUUUAACAAACUUUCGGGUCUAUGGAAUGAAUUGGAAGUGGCCGAAGAAAAAUUCGACUGGCCGGAGCCGAUUUUACAGCAAUACAAAAGGAUGCGAGACAAGGAGAAAGCAAUCAAAUUUCUCCUCAUAUUAAACGAAUCUUACCUUUCAUUUCGAUCGCAGAUCUUAACCAUGGAGCCGAUGCCAAGCCUUGGCCGUAUCUAUCAGCUUGCUAUCCAAGAGGAAAGCCAACAAAGUGCAGCAGAUCUCGGAAAGGAAGGCGAGAGUGUGGCUCUAGCGACAAGAGUUUCCUCUCGCCCGCUACAGAGAACCACGGGAGGAAGAGAAGGUCGAGGACCCAAUCUAGGGUUCCACGAAAACCCUAGAGCAUAUAUACGGACGACGGAUGGCCACGAUUUUCCUAAUCGAUCGGACGCUCAUGAUCAAUCCUUGGAGCCGCUGGAUCCGACGGCUCACAGAGUGGUGCGGCCACUGAAUCCAACGGUUCAUGUGCAAGGGGUUUCUAUGGGUUCGAUGGCCCACGCAACCAAAUUUGUUCUAGGCCCAACGGCCCAUGAGGCCAUUUUUUUGCAUCAUCCGAAGGCCUAUAUGGGGGAACAACGGCCCAUUCUGUAAGCAGGCCUUCCUCAUUCACAAAAAAAAAAAAAACAACCACAAGGGAAAGGGUAAGCUGUAUUGUGAAUACUGUAAACGCCCGCACCACACAGUUGAAAGUUACUGGAAAUUACAUGGUAAACCUAGUGAAAAAGAAAAGGGAAAGUUUUCAACUGUCUUUCAAGUGACAGGUAAAUCAGCAGACAAGUCAAUCACUCAUGGGGAAUAUCAGGAGCUGAUGAAAGCUCUAAAGAAAUUGGAUCCUUUUGACAAGGCAAGAAGUUUCACAAGUAUUUCUUAUUGCCUGAUGAACUCAAUUUCGAAUGAUGCAUGGAUCAUUGAUACAGAAGUUAGUGAUCAUAUUGUCUAUAAUCCAAAAUUCUUUUCCAAUGUCAAAAGGUUAUCUUUUCCAAUAUUAGUACAACUCCCCAAGGUUAUCUUAGUCCACUCAUCACUCUCAAAAAUGUCAUUUAUGUUCCUACUUUCCAUUUUAAUCUCAUAUCAGUUUCUCGAGCUUGUGAAGAAAAUUCUUGUCAUGUCUCUUUUGACUCUAAUAAAUGUCUAUUUCAGGCCCUUUCAACUGGCAAACUGAUGGGCUUGGGUAGAAUAUAUCAAGGACUGUAUUUUUGGAUUAAUCUUCCAAGCAAUUUUAAAUUAUCCUCUGUUGCAUUCAAUAAACCAUUGUGUAACAUUGUUGCCAAUGAAAGAAAUUUUCUUCAUCAUCAAAGAUUGGGUCACACUGCUUCUUUCCCUUGUCCUCAAUGUCCCAUUUUCCCUUUAGCAAAACAAACUCGUGCCCCCUUUUAAAACAGUAAGACUCAAGUAGACGACAUCUUUUCUUUAAUUCAUGCUGAUGUCUGGGGACCAUAUCACACAAUAAAUCAUGAUGGUUCAAUAUUUUUUCUUAUAAUUGUGGAUGAUUUCUCACGUGCCACUUGGGUCUUUCUCAUACAAUCAAAAGGUAAAGUUCUUUCUCACCUUAAAAUCUUCCUUUCCUUAUCCAAAACUCAGUUUGGAAAAUCAGUUCGUCGCAUCUGCACUAAUAAUGGAAGAGAAUUCUUCAAUGGUGAUUGUACUUCCUUUCUUUCCUCAAAUGGAAUUUUGCAUGAAAGUACCUGCACUUAUACCCCACAGCAAAAUGGGGUUGUUGAGCGAAAGCACCAUCAUCUCUUAGAGGUGGCAUGUGCUCUUAAGUUCCAGGCAUCUAUACCAUAAAAUUUUUGGGGAGAUUGUGUGGUCACUACAGCAUAUCUAAGAAAUCGUAUGCCAUCACGCAUUCUAGAAGGCAAAACUCCGUUUGAAUUAUUGUAUGGAAGGAAACCAAAUCUGAGUCAUCACCGAGUGUUUGGUUGUCUAUGUUAUGUGGCUACAAUAGGUCCCCGGGAUAAAAUGUCCCCUCGUGCUUAACAGUGCAUCUUCAUGGGGUAUCCCAACUUAAAAACGGGUUAUCGAUUUUAUGAACAGUCUACCAGAGAGUUUUUUAUCAACAGGGAUGUGGUUUUUCAUGAAGAUAUUUUCCCUUUUCGGGAUACUACUUCUAUGUCUGCAGAUGAUAUGAGAACUAAUCAUCGAUUCCUAUCAGAAGAAGAUCUAUCUUAUGGAGAAUCAUACCUUAUUACCUCUCCUCUAAGACAUCAGAUAGUAGAUAUAGUAUUGCCUUCACCACCCAAUGAUUCAUCUCAUGACAAUUCCGUUGAGCAACAACUCAUGGAACAGGAAUCUCAGGAGACAAAUCACGGAGAACCUACAAGUAUUGAAGAAUCAUCUUUGAAGGUGCCGGAUGAGCCACCACGAAGAUCUGGUCGAAUCACGCACCCACCAACCUGGACCAAAGAUUAUGUCUGUUCCUCAUCACUAUCAUCAGGUACCCAUUAUCAUCUAUCCUCAUAUAUAUCUUUCAACCGCUUGUCGUCAGACCAUUUAUGUUGCAUUAGCCGAAUUUCUGAGGAAAGGGAGCCUUCUAGUUAUAAUGAGGUUGUACAUGAUGAACACUAGCAAAAAGCAAUGGAGGCGGAACUUAAGGCCCCGAUUGAUAAUCACACUUGGGAUAUUGUGUCAUUACCUCCUGAUCGCAAGCCCAUUGGAUGUAAAUGGGUCUAUAAGAUCAAAUACAAAGCAGAUGGCUCUAUGGAAAGAUACAAGGCCCGGUUGGUGGCCAAGGGUUUCACACAGCGAGAAGGUUUUGACUACCAUGAGACAUUUUCUUUGGUAGCCAAGGACGUCACGAUUCGCUCCUUAUCGGUUGCCGCCUUUCGCAACUGGUCAUUGCAUCAGAUGGAUGUCCACAAUGCUUUUCUUCAUGGUGAUCUGGAAGAGGAGAUUUACAUGGACCUUCCACAAGGAUUACAGAGACAUGGGGAGUCUAAGGUAUGUCGUCUACGCAAAUCUCUUUAUAGAUUGAAACAGGCUUCUCGACAGUAGUACGCCAAGUUUACUAUUGCACUUACGAGAGCUGGGUUCCAGCAAUCCAAACAUGAUUACGCUUUGUUCACUUGGGCAAAAGGUUCGUCGGUCAUAUACUUGAUUAUUUAUGUUGAUGACAUACUUAUCAUGGGAAAUGAUGAUUCCGUUGUAAAGAAGCUUAAAGACCAUCUACAUUCGUCUUUUCAUAUCAAAGACUUAAGGUCACCUAAGUAUUUUCUUGGAAUAGAGAUAGCUCGUUCUGAUCUAGGGAUUUCCCUUAGUCAACGAAAGUUUGUGAUUGAGAUUAUAUCAGAAGUGGGAUUAUCAGGGUGCAAACUGGCAAUUAUUCCCAUUGAACAGAAUGCCAAGUUGACUAGUGUUGAUUAUGACGCUGGGACGUCCUCCUCUGAUGAUCCACUAUUGAAGGACUCGACAAGCUACCAAAGACUUGUUGGGAAGCUUAUCUACCUCACUAUGACUAGGCCAAACAUUUGCUAUGCAGUACAGACUCUCAGUCAAUUCAUGCACAAUCCAAAGCAAUCACAUAUGAAUGCAACCUUAAAAGUGGUGAAAUAUCUGAAGAGAUGUCGAAGACUAGGGAUACUCCUCUCUAGAAAGUGCAGUAUGGAGAUGAUAGCCUCUUAUGAUGCAGACUAUGCUACAUGUCCCAUGAACAGGAGAUCUAUCAUGGAAGACAAAGAAACAAUUCACCGUAUCAUUGUCAUCGGCAGAAGCUAAAUAUCGAUCUAUGGCAAAGACUGUUUGUGAGGUAGUAUGGCUACGAGGCUUACUUCUGAACCUUGGGGUACAAGUUAAAGGUCUGACAUUACUUUCCUAUGAUAAUGAUUCGGCACUCAAGCUUGCGGCAAAUCUUGUACUACAUGAAAGGACAAAACAUAUAGAAGUUGAUUGCCAUUUUACUAGAGAGAAGAUCGAAGAAGGGAUCAUCGAAACCAGAGGGAUCAGGACCAUAGAACAGCCCGCGGAUAUCUUCACUAAACCCCUUUGUUAGAGACAGCAUCUUGGAUAUAUACAAGCCACCAGUUUGAGGGGGAGUGUUGAAAGAAGAUAUGAUUGAAGAUUUGUAUUGAUUGUAAUUGAUAGGAAAUGUGAUUAUUUUAGGACUAGAAAGAUUAGAAAAAUUUAUUUACUUUUUUAUUGAACCCACUUGUAUGAUAUAUACAUCAUUGUAUUACAUACAGAAAUCAAUGAAGCAAAUACAAUUUUCCUCUCCACACAAAAUUCCCACAUUCCUCUUCUCGGAUUCGUGACAGUCGGUGGAGCGGAAAACUACCAUAUAGUCGUGCAUCCUCAGUAGACACAGUACCAAAUGCAAGACAAGGUCUAUCAAUUCAAUGCGACUUUAAUUGCAAAAAGUAAGGGCAGCGUAUACGGCUGCUCGAACUUUUUAACGCUCUUGAUAGCGACCGCCACACCCUCCCCUCUAUAUUUGGUUCGCGGGUCGAAUUAUUUUUUGGGACAUCAGUUCAUAUUCGACCUUUCAAAGAACAUGGAGAAGGCGCAAGCCAUGAGAUUUGCAGUCGAAUUUGCGCCGAGCAAACUUGUCUCUGCCAGAAGGUGUCCGCCGCUGAUUCAAUUGCUUGAGACGAUUGCAGAGGAAGAGACUGAUGAUCUGGAAACUACUACUACUCUUCUGCUUCCGAUGUAUCUUCCUCCUCAUAAUGCCAUUAAUACGGACUGAGAAACUGUUGUUGAAGAGGAAGCAAGGAGAUCGUGUAGACCAUGUUAGUGGCCAUCUGCGCAUCAGUGGGAGCCGUAUUGGCUCAUACGAUACUUCGUCAAUGUCAACAACCGCGAACACAUUUUAGUAGUCCAAUUUUGUUUCUCUCUGAUUUUGAUGUUAAUAACAAGGUCUUUCUCGCCACGGGUGGGCUCGAGCAGUUUAGAUGUAUUCCAUAAAGCAUGUGUAAGAAUCUUUACCAAAUCAUGUUGUGUCAUGCGGACCUUUGGUCCAUCUUUCUUUUCUUAUCGAGAGUAGUACAUGUUGCAUUGCCUCUCAAAUGCAGCUAGUGACAGGGAGCAGUGAGUAAUGUGUCCUGACUGCUGAAAUAUUUAGGCACCUUCAAUGGCAACUACGAUCAUCAAUUGCCUAACAACCAAGUGUUAGGGCUGAUUAAGGGAUGAUGAUUUUAAGUGGUCUAAGAGUAUCCGGAAAAGUCACUCCCCAGGGUGAACCUAAAGUAGUUCAGGACUAAGAACAGUUACAAAGAGUAGGCUUCGUCCUUCCCCAGCUCUUUCAGCUCCGAUGAGCAUUCAAAUCGCAGUCCAUAAUUCUCAAAAAACGAAAGAAAAUAAGAACACAGGAAGGAUUUCGAAGAACAAUUGAAAACCAGAAUGUACUCAUGACCUGAUCAGAACCUUCCUUCGCGAGGAGAUUGCUACCUGAACAUGACAUGAGGUAGAAUGCCUUACUAUGCCAUAUGAUCGCCCAGUAGUACGAGAUGAAGAGAAGACACAGCGAAGUGUCCUCUCAGAUUACAGAAUUCUUAAGAAAACAAAGAAGCCCGUUGCGAGUACAAGAGGAUUACUAACAAGGAUAGCAAAUGCCGACAGCCAGACCAGGGAGAAAAACAGGGUCUAGCAAAAGCAGAAGCAGCGUCCCCUACUCUAUGCCCAUUGCUUUCUUGAGCUCCAAGACGUAGCCAUGCACCUUUUGAGGGUCGGGGAGAGAUUUGGACACGCUCUCCUUCUCCAUGCACCUUUUGCCCCACGCAAUGAGCUUGGGACACUCCGCUUCGAUGCUGAAGUUUCCGCACAUCUCGUAGGAGUAGAACCGGCAGUAGAAGCCGAUGAAUGAUAUGUCCAAGAACCCGAACUUCUUGCCCCCAAAGAAAGGCUCGUUUCCUAGCUCACUUUCCAGUAGUUUUAGGCUGUGGAUGAAUUCCUUCUUCGCCGCCUCCUGUUCUUCCCCUUUCGUCGUCAGCACCUUCCACCCUUGACCAUAGAACUGCAAAAUCGUAGAUCGGUCCCAGAUCAGAAAGUCAUCAGAAUCAUCACAAGCUUUCUCCUAGUAAAAGCACUUCAUGCUUCAGUAUUAUAUGUGCAACAUCAGUCAACUCCCAACAUUAACAAACGUACACGACGAUAAAACCAUGGGGACUAAUACCUUCUUGUCGAUGAAAUCAGCCCAGAAUCUGGCUCGGGCUCGUUCGUAAGGAUCGGAUGGCAAGAGGGGGGCCUUGUGGCUCCAGGUCUGGUCGACAUACUCCACAAUGACGAGAGACUCGCACACAGGCUUGCCGUUGUGGAUGAGGACAGGGAUUUUCUUGCGGACCGGGUUCAUCUGAAGGAGGAGCUCCCCCUUGUUCCACAGGUCCUCUUCCUUGUACUCGUACACGACCCCUUUCUCGGCCAGCGCUACGCGGCACCUUAUCCCGAACAUGCUGGGCCAGAAGUCCAGGAGGAUCACUUCAUCGGCCAUUGCCUUCAAAGUCUCUCUGUGUGUUUGUGACCCUUGAGAAUCGAAGCAGAGCAAUUUCGAAGUGUUAAAAAGGGGGUGAAUGAUAGCAACUGUUGAGCCAGCACUCGACCCUAUAGAAUCGAGGAGUAUUUUAAAUUAAAUAAGAACGUUACGUCAAAACGUCGUAGCAUCGGCGUACUCCUUUGGUUCCGUGGACGGCAUAUACAAAGUUUCUCAGCAUAUUUCGCUGACUCAAUAUCUACAUGCGUGGUUCCGUGGACGGCAUAUACAAAGUUUCUCAGCAUAUUUCGCUGACUCAAUAUCUACAUUUUUUGUCGGCUGAUGUCCAUAUUAACGAAAAACUCAAUUGACACAAUUAUAAAAUAUUUAGAAUUAAAUUAAAAAUUAUAAUAAAUUUAAGAUUGUUUUGGUAAUUAUUAUACAAUUCUUUUUGGUUGAAAAUAAUAUAUCAAACAUAUUUAAUUACCUUAAAUACAUUUAGUUUUUAAUUAAAAAAAUAGUCAAAGAAUUUACAUAGGCUUAUGUGUAAAAACCAAUCCCAAUAUGGAUUCAAUUUCAUAUUCCAACUUCCACCUUAGAAUCAACCUUGCAGGUUUCACGCUCUACCUUAAAAGGAUAUUUCAUCAAAAUACUUUUCAGUGAUAUAUCCCUUUGGCACACCCAGUGGGAUAUUUUGUUGAUUCAAAAAGACUAUGAUGACAAGAACCAAAAUUUAACUAGAGUUCGACAAUAAUGCUAGCAAACAACUCAUUAAACUAGGGGGUAAGGACAAUAUAAAUUACUUUUAGUAGACCGAUUUCAAGCUCCCAGUCCUCACUUAAACAAUGUCCCUAGGAUUGACGUUGUAUACCCUUUUCCAUUACGGUGACUGGCAAUAUUAUGGAAGCCUAAAGUGACUACUGAACCGCCAUCGCAAUCAUGAACAAGUGGAGUGACUAGCCGGAUGCUCAAUUCUUGAUGAAGAUUAUGUACUCCCGGGAUGCAGUAGAAACUACAAAGAUCAGGCUCGCGUCCGUGGCUCGUAGAGAGCCUUUUAUAUAUCACAUACAAAGAGUAUAAGGGCAGCUGAUCAAACAACAGUCAGCUGAUGAAUCCAGCGCAGAAGGUUACUCCAUAACAUCGUGCCAACUUUCCGAGAGAGCAAUUACAGUGCAGAGGAAAAGCAAAACUUUAGAAUGGACUGCAUUUUCAGAAAUAAUCAUAACGGAUCACUCGAAGAACAAGAAGGAACAUUUGGUUUUGGGAAAAUGACUAAAUAAAUGACCUUCCUUCAAAUUUAAUCUAUCAGAAGAGAUUUUACAUCGCAUCAUUUGGACAGUGCUUGCUGACACAGAAACAAUGAUACAGUUCUCAUGAUAAGGUAACAUUUUUACAAGUUAAACCAGGCUAACGGCCUGACAAAAAUGUUGAUUUGUAAAGUUAAAAGGGAACAGAUCCCAUACCAAUUGGCUGGACCCUACCGCUGAAACCUCCUCCUCUGGAUUGCCCAAUGCUGUAAAUCGUAUCUGAUAAGCUAGGUCUGCCCAAGACCUUCCAUGCUUCCACCUGGAAUCACGUAAAUACAGUCGACCAAAUGUCUGUUCUCCACAGGUGGAACUUGUGCCAGAAAGCCUUGACCUUACAUAAUGGCAAGGGCAAUUGGUGAUAUUCUGUAACAUGAUGCCUAG
rnacentral:lncRNA from 1 species